rnacentral:lncRNA from 1 species
GGUCCUUCCCUUUAAAGACGAACCAAGGACACUAAGACCCAACGGAAGAUUACCGGCAAGCUUCGCAACUUCAAAUGCUAGUUCCUUAAAAUCAUCAGGUGGAGAGUCUUUCCCAAAAGCAGAUCGGCAUAACAUCGUAAGAGCAAGAUGUUCAGAUGGGAACUCCACCUCAUAUAUAAGGUCAAUCUCAUGAGCCUUGAGAAGUUGCCUAUCUUGAGUGAUCACAAUUAUUCUGCUUCCAGAUCCAAACCAUUCAGCUUUUCCCACCAAGGUCUUAAGAAACUCUAGACUAUCCACAUCAUCAAGAAGGAUAAGAACUUUCUGUUGCUUUAACCUUUGCUCCACCACACCAAAAUGCUCUAUCUUUAUGUCCUUUUGACCUAAGAUUUCCGAGAGAAGUUCUUUUUCCCACCUCAACUUCAUGCCAGAGACGUCACUACCGCUGGUGCUUUUAUAUGUUAUGAAAGCGCGAUGGUGGAACUGGAUAGAGAGUUUACUGUAAAGAGCUCUUCCUAUGGUACUCUUACCAAUCCCUGAUUGUCCCCAAAUCCCGACCAUUAUUCUAGCUUCCUUGGAUUCCAAGCACAAUACUGAUUUUAUUGCCUCUAUAUGAUUUUCAAUUCCGACUAAGUCGCCAAAAUCAUCCGAUGGUGUCAUAGUUUUUCUCAAAACAUCCUCGGCAAGCUCUUCAAUCAUGGCUGCUUCACUAGGCCUAAUAACAAUAGUCAACUGUUUCAUUAAAGAAGCAACGCAAAACAAAAAAAUCACGAAGUCUAUUCAUUGAAAUACCAUUUCCGAAGAUCAUAUCCGGCCAUAACUGCAACAGCUGCUAGAGCUUGCUUCCAACUUUGUUUCUCAUCCUCUGAUUUAGCCUUGCAUGUCUCUUCAAAGACCUUUCCAAAUUCGCCGGUCUGUUUUUUAACUUCCGAAGCAUCAACGUGGAAGAAAAUCGGAAUCACCAUUUGAUUCAAAUUCGUAUAACACUUGUGAAUCUCCACCAAUUCAUUCAGGCACCAGGUGGAUGAAGCAUAGUUCUUAGAGAAGAUAACGAUUGCUAUUCUCGAUUCUUUUAUUGCCGAUAAAAGCUCCGGGCCGAUUGAGCGGCUCCUCUCGAUCUCAUCAUCUAUGAAUGUGAUUGCUUUGCCCCUGAGCUCCUUGAGAAGAUGGCUGAGGAAUGAGUCACGGACAUCUUCUCCACGAAAGCUUGGGAAAACGUCGUAUCUCCGGCUGCCAGAAGAAGAAGCUAUCUCCAUAUCAUCAUCUUUGGAUGUAUCCAUCAUUUCACGGUCGAGCUCGAGCUCCUUGACAAGAUGGCCACGAAACAAUUUGCCGAAAUUUUCUCCACUGAAGCUCGCGAAAACAUUGUAUAUCCAUCUGAGAACAUUGUAUAUCUAUCUGAAGCAAGAAGACGCCAUGGCAGAGGAUGAGAGAGAAGAGACGAAAUUUCUCAAAGGAAAACUCUUUGAAGUAUAUCAAUAAUACAACACAGUAACAGAGAGGAGAAACUUGGUCUUCCUUUCCUCGAAGACUUGUAUAGAAGACUUACUAUACAAGAUAUUGUUUUAGUGGUUAAAAUCAAAUCCCAUUACAAGACAAUUGGGACAAAUAAUACGUAAACUUGGUCUUCCUUUCUUAGAAGACUUGCAUAGAAGACUUACUGUACAAGAUAUUUUUUUAGUGGUUGAAAAAUCAAAUCCCUAACAAGAUAAGGCCAUAAUUAUGUGAUACAGAAACUUCCCCUUCCUUUCCUUGGAAAGCUUCUACUCUAUAACGAUAAGUCAAUUUUGUGGCUAUCAGUCGUCACUGAAUUUAUCUAUGAUGAUGAGACGUAGCCAUUCUACAAGAUUUCAAGAUAAUUUCUAGGCAAAAUAGACAGAAACUUCCUCGAGAGCUACUUUUCCUCUCCACAGAUAUUUUUGAAGACCCAAAAUUUUGUGGCUGUCAGUGGUUCAAGACAGAAACAAGAUUUCAAUUUAUUUUAACAAUGUUAAGGUUCACUAAUAUCAAAAGUCUGGUUUUCCUAUUCAUACUGUACAUACAUGCAUGGAAAUUAGGAGAAUAAUUAGUAUAUCGAUUAUGAGGAUUAUAAUUCAACUAAUAAUACAGUGAAAACACUAACAACAAACUAUCUAGUUUUCUAGAGCUGUGUGGUGUGGACAGUGGAGAGAAUAUUUUCAUGUAAAGUUUUCUUGUUUACAUUUACAAUUGUAAUAUUAGUUUAGAGUUUUGGCUUACUGUGUCAGCAACCACUGUAGGCUGCGAUUGCAUUUGCUGCCGUUUAAGGAGCAUUUGGUUUCUAAGGGUAGGUUUCAUGUACUGGAUGGAAGAAGUCGUGCUUGAGAGCAUCCUCUGCACUGAUUCGCCGUCUCGGGUUAACGGUCAAACAUCUAUCAACGAGGUCAAGGAGCGACCAUGGAAUUGCAUCUAGAAACUCCAUGCGUUUUGGGUUGAGUUCGUACCAUUUUCUCAACUCCAUCCCUUUCAAGUACCUUGACUUGUACAAUUCCUGAAACAACAACACAAAAAUCAACCUGAACUCAUCUCUCACGAUCAUCUAUCUAAUAAUUUUGUCGGUAAUUUACAUUUUUAAGAUAUAUAAUGUUUUGGAACACAAAAUGCUAACAAUGAAAACCCUUUUGUGAUAUUUGAAUCCAAAUGCUGGCGGCAAAGAAGAACAGAACAUGUAUGUUAUGUUCACACCAAUGCAGUAAUCAAAUGAAUGGAGAGUUUACAAGGGAUGAAAGAUGAGAUUUUACCUCAUGUAAAGAGGAUUCACGGUUGUGCAGCUUGGCUACUUCCCAUAAUUCUUCACUGCCUCGUAGUUGCGCAAUGUCCUUUAUGUUCCUGGGAAUGACAAGGUCGUUGUAAGACGGCAAGAAAGAAGAAAAAAGUGGAACCGAGUGAUGGUGUAUUCAGUCAAGUCAGAUCUUAACUGUUCAGGGUCACCAGUGAGAGCUUUCCUUCCCAUUAUGAGGUAUAACAAAGUAACUCCCGCAGAACACACGUCUUUUUUUAGGUCCUUGGUCCAAAGACCAUUCAGCCGAGAACAGCCCUAGAGAAUUAGCUUUUCCAUCCCAUCCUAGAUGUGUUAAUGAGUAGCUCAGGGAACAAGAUAUUUUCAUAUGGAUUUAACUAGUAUCAAGGGAAGUGAUAUAUCUGCAGGAAAAAUGGCUUGUGUCAAAACAUAUGAAAUCGUCUUGCCAUUAUCAUUAUAGUCAUGCUCGGUCCCAAGUUAUCCUAAAACAGAGGAAAACCGAAUAAUAAGAUGCUUCAGUUACCAGAACCAGAAUUCAAGAUAGGAAUUUCUUCAUCUUGUUGUUCACUUAUCAUGGAAUCAACACACAAAGAUUCCCCCUCCAGAGAUGGAUAAGAAGAAACUGAUGAUGCUUCUCCCUGCCCUAACGAAAGCUCCAUAUUUAGAGCGGUCAAGCUUGUGUCCGCUACAAUUUGGACACAGGGUAAGUUGAUAUAUUCUUCAGAUGUUCCCGAUGUCAUCUGCAUCGUAAACCAAAGGAUCGAUUCUGUUAAAUAGUCUGUCACUAAGGUAUUGAUCCUGGAAAAUAUAAUAAAACAUCAAGAGAUAGCUUUGCAAUUUUCAGUUCUAAUUAUGUCAAAAGGCUUACCCGCAUCCGCUUAUUGCUUCUCGCAGUCUCUACAACAUCACAUUUUUCUCGAGACUGUUGGCUGUACUCUGUUUCAGAGCUUCCAUCACUAUCAUCUGGAAAUGGAGACACAUUCAAGAGUCGUAUACCACAUUCUUUUAUCCUCUUGGAGCAAGAAAAGUUAAACUCCACAUCGUUGAAAGUCAAUUUAGAUGGAAGAUCUUCAGGCUGGAAGUUGAAGGAACAGAAAACCAGAUGAUCCGUCUUACACAACCGCAGGUCUGCAUCUUUAAAAAAUGAUUUGCAAUACAGUGUCCCAUUGAAGCCAGCAUUUACCUCACAAUAUGGACCCCAACUCUUGCCCUCAGUUAGAAGGUCAACCACGAUGCAAGCCUUAAAGCAAGAAUACUUGAGAAAGAGAGCUCUAAGGUAAAGUGACAGUUAGGGAAUCUCCAUAAGCUCGAUGUUGAAAAUACGUUGGCACUUCUCCACCUGGUAAGGACAUAGGCUUGAACAAUGACCGUAAGAUGAGUUCUCGCGCAUCUCCAUCCAAUUUGCAGCAGUUCUGGAAGAGAUAAUGAAAGGCCCCGAUCCGGACUACCUAAGUCCGGACGAGAUCUCUCGACCCAAGUCACUAAGUGACUCGACCCAAGUCACUAAGUGACUCGACCCUAACCAUUUAUGAGGUUCAUUCCCUAGUGUAAUCCGUUUCAUACAAUUCUGUGAUUCAAUAUAUGAGACGAAUAGAGUAAACAAACAAUCGGAUACUUUAUUAAUUAAGUAAAGGAUUCGAUACAACUUAUGAGUUUGCAUAUAAGCUAUUACAAGUAAUUUAAUCGAUCCCUAGACUAUCCGAAACUAUCACCACCCAUCAUUCCGGCCUUGAGUCUCUCGCGCCUAAGCCAAGUCCUUCCCACUAUCACCAUUGGUUCCUGAAAGUCAUAGAGCCAUAAGUAAUUUCAUUUACUUAGUCAUAUGCAAGUCCAUGCAAUGCUCCAUAGUCCUUACACUACUCGGAUCCGCGGAGAGGAUUCGGAGAAGGGAAGAUCGCGCAUAAGUCCGGCCGAUUCUCGGUAGGUCAAUUAAGACCCGCCGGUCCUCCGCCGAGCCGCGUCUCCGCCCCAGCCGAUCCCUUGCCCGGACCGAGGCUUGUGUAGGUUGCACAUGACCCGAUUCUACCCAGCCCAUUAGUCGUUCCUUUCAAGGAAUCCCGACUCAUUUAACGCAUUCUAGAAUCCUUAGACUCGAGGUCUAGGAUUCCUUACCUUCCUUCACGAUGUUCGGUCGAUCCGACCCUUCUUCUUCCUUGCCGGCCACAGUCCGCCUACCGAUUUCCUCCGAUGAUUUAUUCUCCCGAAAGGGAGAGAGUUUAAUGGUGAGUUUCCGGUAUUUUCCGUGUGUUCUGCUGCCUCUAAAGGUCUUGGGCGCCCUCCCUUAUAUAAGGAGCGAAUUGAUGCUUCCCGAAGGAUCACCUCCGUUCCUUGCACCUUUCCGAAGAGUUGCAUCUCUCGGUCCGUAACUGCUCGCCCUUAUCCACCCUUUGGGCGAGCACCCGUUCGACCGUAACCGCCCAAGUAACCGUCCGGGUAACCGCCCAGCUGGUCAGACAGUCGACCAGCUGCCUCGAGCUCAACCGUCACUCGCCCAGCUGCUCGAGCUGGACUGUCACUCAACCCGAGUAACCGUCACUCCUUCCAGCUGAGCUUGAGCUUCGGACGAGCUGACCCAGCUGAUUCCUUUACGAUCCUAGCUUAGCCCGCAUGAUUUCCCUUUGUCCGAGCUUAUGGCCAACUCCUUCCCACUUGUCCGAGACUCCACCUUCUUUUCUCGGACCAAGUCCCAGCCAACGAUCCUAUUGAGGAUCGCGGGCGUUACAAGUCUCCCCUUUGAAUUGGAUUCGACAAAUCGAAUCCAAGUUGAUCUUUACCCAUCUCCUUGAACCACUCCGGAAAAUUGGCCUUCAUCUUAGUCUCGGUUUCCCAAGUGUAUUCUUCACGGCCUCCACAAUUCCACAAGAUUUUUAACAAAUCCAUUGAUUUCCCCCGAGUCCCUUUCUUCAUUUGGUCCAUGAUCCGUACCGGCCAUGCUUCCACCGUCAUGUUCUCCUUUAACCCAGGAGGUACAUCUUCCAUGCUUUCUUCUUGUUCACUUAAGCACUUCCGUAGUUGUGAUACAUGAAAGACAUUGUGAAACGCGUCUAGUUUUGGAGGAAGGUCAAGUUUGUAUGCCACCGCCCCUACUCGUUCGAUCACUUUGUACGGGCCAACGUACCUUGGCCUUAACUUUUUCCUUGAUGUGAAUCGCCCUGCCCCUUUGUAGGUCAUCGCCUUUAAAUACACCAAGUCUCCCACUUGGAAUUCUAAUUCCUUUCGACGCUUGUUGGCGUAACUUUUCUGACGAUCUUGGGCUUCCUUUAACUUGAUUUUUAAGAACUUCAUUUUCUUCGUGGUUUCAUCCACGACCGCAGGUCCGAACAACCGACGUUCGCCCACUGGCGUCCAACACAACGGUGUUCUACCAGCUCGGCCAUACAACGCCUCAUAGGGAGACAUACCAAUACUAGCUUGAAAACUGUUAUUGUACGCAAAUUCUACUAACCUUAGAUAUUUCUCCCAGUUUCCUCCCCAAUCCAAGACGCAUGCCCUCAACAUGUCCUCGAGGGUUUGAAUCGUUCGUUCGGACUGUCCGUCCGUCUGUGGGUGAUAUGCAGUACUUAGAUUCACUCGAGUCCCUAAGACCUUUUGAAAAGGCUUCCAAAAUUUUGACGUGAACCUUGUGUCUCGGUCCGACACUAUACUAACCGGAAUCCCAUGUAAUCGCACGAUCUCGUCUAUGUACUUCUCGGCAAUGAUUUCGGCUGCAUCCUUAUCCGAGAUUGCCAUGAAGUGCGCAGACUUAGUCAAUCGGUCUACUACAACCCAUACCGCAUUGUGUUUGGACUUGAUCCCCGUCGGCAGUCCCGUGACGAAGUCCAUCAUUAUAUGGUCCCACUUCCAUUCCGGUAUAGGUAGGUUUUGUAACAUUCCACUUGGUACUUGAUGCUCUUCCUUGGCUACCCACCUGGCCACAUCUUUCUUCAUUCCUACCCAAUGGUAGUAUCUUUUAAGGUCGCGAUACAUCUUGUUCGACCCAGGAUGGAUCGAGAACUUCGAUUGAUGCGCUUCUUUUAGGAUUUCCUCCUUCAACGCCUUAUCGUUCGGCCCACAUACUCGACCGUUCACCACGAUAGUACCAUUGUUCGAGCUUUGGUACUCGGUUUUAUUGUUUUGUGCCCACCCUUUUAUUUCUUCAUCUCGUUCUUGAGCCGACCGGAUCCUACUAAGUAGGUCGGCUUGAUUGGCGGCUCUCAACCCUAAGGGUUCAACUUCCUUAGACAAAGCAUUCAAAUGCAAUGUCCCCAUCAUGUUAACCAAAUUCACUUGGUUCCUUUCCGCUUCCACUACCGUGCGCAGCCUGCUCAAAGCAUCUACAACUUGGUUGGCCUUGCCCGGAUGGUACGCUAUGUUCAAGUCGUAAUCCGCCACAAGUUUUAUCCACCUUCUUUGCCUUAGAUUUAACUCCGGCUGGGUGAAUAUGUAUUUUAGGCUCUUGUGGUCAGUAAAGAUUUGAACCUUGGCACCAUACAAAUAUGAUCGCCAAAUCUUCAACGCAAAUACUACCGCGGCCAUUUCCAAAUCAUUCGUAGGGUAGUUCUUCUCGUGUUUCCGCAAUUGCCUCGAGGCGUAUGCGAUAACACUCCCCUUUUGGAUCAAUACGCAUCCUAGUCCUACUAUGGAUGCGUCCGUGUAGACCGUAUAGGGCUCACCUUCCUCCGGUAAGACCAACACCGGUGCAUUAGUCAACAUGGCCUUUAACUCCAGGAAGCUUCUCUCGCAUUCCUCCGACCAGUUGAAUGCGGUGUCUUUUCCGGUCAAUUGAGUCAUGGGUUGGGCCAUGCUCGCAAAUCUCUCGACCCAAGUCACUAAGUGAAUGGACCCUAACCAUUUAUGAGGUUCAUUCCCUAGUGUAAUCCGUUUCAUACGAUUCUGUGAUUCAAUAUAUGAGACGAAUAGAGUAAACAAACAAUCAGAUACUUUAUUAAUUAAGUAAAGGAUUCGAUACAACUUAUGAGUUUGCAUAUAAGCUAUUACAAGUAAUAUAAUUGAUCCCUAGACUAUCCGAAACUAUCACCACCCAUCAUCCCGGCCUUGAGUCUCUCGCGCCUAAGCCAAGUCCUUCCCACGAUCACCAUUGGUUCCUGAAAGUCAUAGAGCCAUAAGUAAUCUCAUUUACUUAGUCAUAUGCAAGUCCAUGCAAUGCUCCAUAGUCCUUACACUACUCGGAUCCGCGGAGAGGAUUUGGAGAGGGGAAGAUCGCGCAUAAGUCCAGCCGAUUCUCGGUAGGUCAAUUAAGACCCUCCGGUCCUCCACCGAGCCGCGUCCCCGCCCUAGCCGAUCCCUUGCCCGGACUGAGUCUUGUGUAGGUUGCACAUGACCCGAUUCUACCCAGCCCAUUAGUCGUUCCUUUCAAGGAAUCUCGACUCAAUUAACGUAUUCUAGAAUCCUUAGACUCGAGGUCUAGGUUUCCCUUACCUUCCUUCACGAUGUUCGGUCGAUCCGACCCUUCUUCUUCCUUGCCGGUCACAGUCCGACUACCGAUUUCCUCCGACGAUUUAUUCUCCCGAAAGGACGAGAGUUUAAUAGUGAGUUUCCGGUAUUUUCUGUGUGUUCUGGUGCCUCUAAAGGUCUUGGGCACCCUCCCUUAUAUAAGGGGCGAAUUGAUGCUUCCCGAAGGAUCACCUCCGUUCCUUGCACCUUUCCGAAGAGUUGCAUCUCUCGGUCCGUAACUGCUCGCCCUUAUCCACCCUUUGGGCGAGCACCCGUUCGACCGUAACCGCCCAAGUAACCGUCCGGGUAACCGCCCAGCUGGUCAGACAGUCGACCAGCUGCCUCGAGCUCAACCGUCACUCGCCCAGCUGCUCGAGGUGGACUGUCACUCAACCCGAGUAACCGUCACCCCUUCCAGCUGAGCUUGAGCUUCGGACGAGCUGACCCAGCUGAUUCCUUUACGAUCCUAGCUUAGCCCGCAUGAUUUCCCUUUGUCCGAGCUUAUGGCCAACUCCUUCCCACUUGUCCGAGACUCCACCUUCUUUUCUCAGACCAAGUCCCAGCCAACAAUCCUAUUGAGGAUCGCGGGCGUUACAGAUAACCUGCCCUACAGGCCAAAUGUUUGUGGUUAAGGUUUUCCCAGAAACGAUGACGAGUAUACUCAAUGUUUUCAUAUAAUGGUAUAUAAGAAGAGUGAUCUUCCACACUGGCAUCACUCAUCGCCACGUUGACACCUCUACAUUCUGUAAAGUCGACGAGCUUAAGAAUUGUCAGUCUGAAAAUGUUUGGCGAGAUGUUUUUCAACCUCUUGCAACAAUACAUCAUAAGUACAGUGAGCCACGAGAAAUUUUCAAUGCAGCAGGGAACUUCUUCAAUAGCGGUGUUUUCCAGAUAGAGCCAUUUGAUACUCUUUGAAAUCAGAGGAAAAGUUCUCAAACUUGAGCAACCACUCAGAUCAAGCAUUUUAAGAGAUGACAAGUUGACAUCGGUUGGAAGAACCUCCAGCCCUGUGCAUUCUUUCAUUUCCAACCUCACCAAUUUUUGGAGAUUCCCAAUUGUAGAAGGAACUGUCACCAAACUUUUGCAAUUAGAGAGAUAUAAAUUCACCAGAUUAGUGGCCUUUGAAAGAUCUGGAAUUUCUGUCAGGUUUCCACAUUCUGACAUAUCCAUCUCCACGAGACUUGCAAGCGACUGAAACAGAAAUUAAAAAAAAAAAUUGUUAUGCUUCAAUCACUUUCAUUUUAAUUUAAUAACUAUACACAUUUAAACAAAAUUAUAAUCAAGACAUAAUUCUGUAUGUAAAUAUAAACCGUGGAAUCACAAGCCAUUUUGACAACUUUAAUUUGGUUAUACGUAAUUAUUUACAACAGAGGUUAAACAAAAAUCAGCAAAUGCUAUAAUAUUAACAAUGUACCUGGACGCCUUCCCAUAGCUUCUCAAGCAUUUGGUUGCCUCUCACUAUGAGACGAACCAGAUCAUUUGGGCGAAAUUCACAUGGCAUACAUCUCACAAGGCAGGCGAGAUAAUCAAGACCAGGGAGAUUCUUGUUCCAUAUACAAUUUUCUACGCGGAUCUCAAUUCCAUGUGGCGAAGUAGUUGAAGUUUCCAUUUUAAACACAGGGAAAUUUUUCUCAAAUUAUCGUAAUAAAGGAGACCGAGGUACUCAAGAGAUUCCAAGUUGAGAUGAGUUGGAAAACUCUCUAGCUUUGUGCAACCCCUCAUAUCUAAAUAGAUCAGUUUAAUGGCAUUCUGAAUCGAGGAAGAAAGUGUCACCAAAGAUCUGCAUUCCGAAAGAUUUAAUUCCUCGAGGUUUCUGGCAUUAGAAAGAUCUGAAAUUUCUCUCAAAUAUCUGGAACCAUGCAUAUUCAUCCUCUUGAGGCUUCCAAGUGGCUGAAAACAAAAUAGGGAAAAACAUAAUACACACAUUCAUAAACAUUUCAAAUAGAUUAAUUUUUACCACAGGUCUGUUCUAAAAAUUGACAACUAUUUCAAUGAAGAAUUAAGUACCACAGUUCCUUCCCACAGCUUCUCAAGCUUACUUCCCAUCAUUGUGAGUUGAAUGAGGUAAUCCGCCUUAAAACUAUAAGGCAAACAUUUCAAUGGACACCUAUCCCAGUCUAGCAAUCUGAGUUUAGGGGGCAAAUAAACGAGGCUCUGAGGUAGAUCCAUAUAAUCCCCAGUAACUGAUAGACAUUGGAGAUUACGCAUGCCUUGGAACGAUUUUUCAUCUAUUGGUAAUAGCUCUUUUGAUCGGAAAGCUGUGCAGAAACGUAUUCCAAGAACUGUUUCUGUCCCCUGAAAAAAAUACGAAGUAAACUAGUAUAAUGAUAUAAUCUUUACAAUGGCAACCGUUUUUAUUUUUCUGAGACAUCAAAAGAGCUAGCCACGUUUUAAUUAAGCAGGAGAGGCAACAAUUGUUAAAGUUUAUCAAUCCCCAAAUGACGAUUAAAUUAAUAUAAAGUCAUGCAUUAAAAGGCAUCUGCUAAAAACUUACAGUUUUCUCUGUCAAUACUUCUCAGAGUAUCCUCAAAAUCCGUUAGAAAUCGACGUUUUCCAGGAUUACCCUUGGACUUUGCACGAUCAAUUUCUAUACCCAAUUUCUCUAGCAAAUUGUGCAUCUCUAUAUCUCCAUCCGGUGUAAUACGUAUGAGGGACUUCUCAACCAACAUUGUAACCCCAACAUUAUCUUCAAGUAAAUCGUUGACGUAACUGACUUCAAAACCAUUGAAUAAACACGCGAUGUAAAGGAACAUAUCUUGAUCUUUUUGAUGUAAUCUAUCGUAGCUGACUCUUAAUGUUUUCAUAAUAUCUCCGUUCAAACCAUUUCGGAACCUAGGCAUCAUCUCCAUCCACUCUUCUUUGGUCCUUCGUUUUAAAGACGAACCAAGGACACUGAGACCCAAAGGAAGAUUACCGGCAAGCACUGCAACUUCAAAUGCUAGUGCCUUAAAAUCAUCAGGUGGAGAGUUUUCCCCAAAAGCAGAUCGGCAUAACAUCUUAAGAGCAAGAUCUAGAGAUGGGAACUUCACCUCAUAUAAAAGGUCAAUAUCAUGAGCCUUAAGAAGUUGCAUAUCUUGAGUGAUCACAAUAAUUCUGCUUCCAGGUCCAAACCAUUUAGUUUCCCCCACCAAGGUCUUAAGAAACUCUGGAUCAUCCACAUCAUCAAGAACGAUAAGAACUUUCUUCUGAUUUAACAUUUGCUCCACUACACCUAACUUCCCUCCUAUCUUUAUAUCCUUACCAAGAAUUUUUGACAGAAAUAUUUCUUCCCAUUCAGACUUCAUGCUAUAGACGUGAGGUACGAAAGCGUGAAAGUGGAAUUGGCAAAAGAGUUGACUGUAUAGAGCUUUUCCUAUGGUACUCUUACCAAUCCCUGAAGGCCCCCAAAUCCCAACCAUUCUAGCUUCCUUGGAUUCCAAGCACAAUAUUGAAUUCAUUGCCUCUAAAUGAGCUUCAAUUCCGACGAAAUCGCCAAAAGAAUUCGAUGGUGAAAUAAGCUUAUUCGAAACAUCAUUAGCUAUCUUUACAACCAUGGCUGCUUCACUAGGCCUAAUAACAGUAGUCAAAUUGUGUCAAUAAAGAGGCACCCCUAAAGCACACAAUCCAAAAAAAGAAGAAGCAGAUAGCAUAGUUCAGAGAUAAUUAAAAACACACUCAGAGAUAAUGAAAUCAAAAACAAAGUACCCGUUUCGAAGAUCUUCUCCGGCUAUAUUUGUUAUGUCUACUAGAGCUUGCAUCCAUCUUUGUUUCUGAUCCUCUUCUUUGUCCUCGCAUGUCUUUUUAAAAACAUCGCCAAAUUCGCCGGUCUGUUUUCUAACUUCCGAAGGAUCAACGUCGUAAAAAACUGAAAUCACCAAUUGACCCCAAUCAUUUAAGCGAUUGUGGAUCUCAACCAAUUCAUCCAAGCACCAAGUGGAAGAAGCAUAGUUCUUAGAGAAGAUCACGAUUGAGAUCCUUGCUUCUCUAAUCGCUGAUAUUAGCUCAGGGGCUAUUGUACGGCUUCGUUCGAUGCCAUGAUCCAUGAAUGUAUUGAUUGAUCUGCGGUCGAACGCCUCGAGUAGAUUGCUGAGGAACGUCUUGCGAACAUCUACCCCACUGAAGCUUGGGAAAACAUCGUAUCUCCGGCUGCAAGAAGAAGAAGCCGCCGCCAUGGAAUAUGAUGAGGAGAAGAUAAGUACAGUAAAUCGAAUACACAGUGAUUAUUGAUUAGAGUGAUUACUGUGAGGCCGGUCCUUAAGGGUGGGAUGCGCAAGGAAACUUCUUAUUUUUUGCCCAUAGGCCAUAAAUAUAAAAAUGUAGCGAAAUGUUUGUAAUGAGGUUCGAACCAAGGCCAAUGAAGCAUUUAAAACCUGAUUUCAAGUAUUCAACCGCUCAACUACAAGUUAUGAUGCCUCUUAAAUCAAUAUUAGAUUUAUUUUGGUGUCCAAGGUCUUUGCUUAUUGUAAAAAGGACAGCUUAUCGUAAACAUGUUGAGUGGGGAAUUCAGUCUUUGUUUCCCUAUACUUACAUGCAUAGAAACUAGGAGAAUUUGUAAGUAUAUCAAUUAUGAGGAUUUUAAUUCACAUAAUAAUAUAGUGAAAACAUUAACUAUCUAGUUUGUUAAAAAAAAAACUCUUUUAGCUUUCUAGAGUUGUGUGGUGUGGUGUGGAUGGACAGUGGAGUGAAGAUUUCUAGAAACUCUCUGCGUUUUGUGUUGAGUUCUCCUCAUUUUCUCAACUCCAUCCCCUUCAAGUACCUUGACACGUACAAUUCCUGAAACAACAACACAAAAAUCUAUGUGAAUUCAGCUCUCACGAUCAUCUAUCAAAUCACUUUAUCAGUAAUUUACAUUUUAAAGUUAUAUCAUGUUCUGGACUAACAAUGAAAACCAUUUUAUGUGAUAUUUGAAUCCAUAUGCUGGUGGCAAAGAAGAACAGAGCAUUUGUAUUAUGUCACACAAAUUCAGCAAUCAAGUGAAUGGAGAGUUUAUAAGGGAUGUAAGAUGAGAUUUUACCUCAGGCAAAGAGGUUUCACGAUUGCAGCUUGGCUACUUCCCAUAAGUCUUCACUGCCUCGUAGUUACUCAAUGUCCUUUAUGUUCCUAGGAAUCACAAGGUCGUUGUAAGACGGCAAGAACGAAAAAAGAGUGGAAUCGACUGAUGGUGUAUUAUAUUUUUAUUUAUUAUUAUUAGGUCAUUGGUGCAAAUAUCUGAAGCAAACCUGCACAAACCAAUUCAGCUAAAAUAAGCACCAGAGAAAUUAGCUUUCACAUCCUAAAUGUGACAAUGACUAGCUCACUUGACCUCAGGGUCGUGAUUGAGUUUGGUGGUUGUGGCCGGUGAGUAGGACGGGUGGAAGCUGGUUUUGUAUGUAUGGGGCAGUGGUGGUGCUGAGUUAUGUUGUAAUCACUGUUUUUUACUGUGAGUGUAGGAAACGCCAUGGUAGCAGUGAUGCAUUUAAUGCUGAUGAGGUUGCUAUUUAAAAAUUUAGUUCCAACACUUUUUUGUUGUUGAUAAUUCUCUUGUGAAAUACAUUUUUCUUUACCGAAUUUAUUCAUUGAUUUAAAGAGAGAAAAAUAACCUUUGGUAACAUACACGUAGAGAGAUAUGUGUGUUUCAAAAGACAAGACUGUUAUAUUUACAUCUUUUCAGGAAAGCGAAUUUUUCAAAGAAGCAAAACAGAGAGAAGUAAGAACAGAGUGGUUCUGCUGUUCUGGACAUGGAACCAUAAAAGUUUUCUAGUUGUCAGUGCUCCAUCAUCUGCAGGAGAAAAUGGCUUGUGUGAAAAACUAAGAAAUCGUCUUGUCAUUACCAGUAUAGUCAUGGUCGAUCCCAUGUUCAUUAUAAAACAGAGUUGUAAUACGUUUCAGGUUACCUUAACAAUGUGAUAAGCUGUAGAGACGGCUAAGGAUCCAGGAAAGGAAUCUUAACAAUGUGAUGGUGUGAAUUCAGUCAAGGCAGAUCUUAACUGUUCAGGGUCAGCAGUGAAAGGUGUCGUCCCCAUCAGACCAUACGUUUUAUUUAGGCCCUUGAUGCAAAGAUCUGAAGCAAACCAAUUCAGUCAAGAACAGCCCCAGAGAAUGAGCUUCCCAUCCUAGAUGUUCUAGUGAGUAGUUCAGGCCUACAACUUUCACUCUUCUCGAUAUAAUUAAAGAGUGCAGCGGCAUAGGGGAACAGCAGCGACAUAUUUUCUCAUCGACGUAGGAUAGCUGGAUGAUACUUCAUGGUUUGGAAGUGGACCAGACAAUGUCUCCUGUAGAAAGUUUAAAAGCUCUUUCCUUCACCCGAAGGAUUGUUCCUUAUGCUGGUUACAUCUUUGGCCGAAGUUAGGCCAAAAACGCUUCUGCCUUUUGGCUAUUGAAUCAGCGGAUAUGCAAAUGUUGCUGAUUCUUGUUGUUUUCUGUACCCAAAGUCUGAUUUAUUCAUUGCUAAUAAAGAGAAAAACAACCUUUACUAACAUAAACAUUGAGAUCUAUGUUUUAAAAAGGCAAGACUAUUUUGGGUAGUACCUGCACUCAAGCAGGUACGCUCCCAAAUUCAAUGUCUUUCUUAAAAAUAGAAUAUGUUUUUACAAAACAAAACAAUGCCAAAGAUGUUUUUCCAGAAUAUGCUAAAGUAUGGCUUUCUGAAACAUUUAUUCUUUCAGGAAAAGUGAAAUGUUCAAAACAAACGCAGAGCUGGAUAAUGUAACGGACUUUGGUUCUCCUAAAGAUCUUCAUCAUCUGCAGUUAAUUAUCAUUAUCAUUAUAGUCAUAGUCGAUCCCAAGUUAUCCUAAAACAGAGUAAAACAGAAUGAUAAGAUGCUUCAGUUACCAGAAUCAGUAGACAAGAUAGGAAUUUCUUCAUCUUGUUCUUCAGUUAUCAUGUAAUCAACACACAAAGCUUCCCCCUCUAGAGAUGUUGAUGAUGAUGCUUCUCCCUGCCCUAACGAAAGCUCCAUAUUUAGAGCGGCCAAUCCUGAGUCCGCUACAAUUUGGCCAUAGGGUAAGUUGAUAUAUUCUUCAGAUGUCCCCGAUGUCAUCUGCAUUAUAAAUCAAACGAUCGAUUCUAUUAAAUAGUCUGUCCCUAUGGUGUUUCGAUCCUGAAAAAUCAAACCAAAAGUCAAAAGAUAGCUUUAUAAUUUUCAGCUCUAAUCAAAAGUCAAAAGAUACCCCCAUCCGCUUCUCGCUUCUCGUAGUCUGUUGGUUGUACUCUGUUUCUUGAUAGACAUACAAGAGUCGUACACCGCAUUCUUUGAUCCUAUUGGAGCAACAAAAUUUAAACUCCAUUCAGACCAGAUCUUGAAGGAACAGAAAAACAGAUGAUCCGUCUUACAAAACUGCAGGUCUGCAUCUUCAAAAAAUGAUUUCUGAUACUGUUUGCCAUUGAAGCCAACAUUUACCUUCAAGGAUGGAUAAAAACCCUUGCCCUCGGAGGGAGGUUCAACCACGACGCAAGCCUUAAAUGGAAAGAAGUAUUGAGAAAGAGAGCUCUGAGGUAAAGUGACAGUUAGGGAAUCUCCAUAAGCUCGAUACGUGAAAUACUUAGGGAUUUCUCCACCUGGUAAGGCCACAUGCUUGAAGCAUGAUCGUAGGAUAAGUUCUCGCGCAUCUCUUUCCAAUUUGAAGCAAUUGCAGAAGCUAAAGGAUUCCCUACGUAAGCGCCAAUCUACGACGUAGUUCUUAUAAUCAUCAUCAUACAACGCAUCCCAGAAACGUUCACAUGUAUAUUCAAUGUUUUCAGAUAAUGGUACACAAGAAACGUGAUCUUCCAUUGUCGCUACCACAGUUGCAUCACUCAACGCCUUGAUGACACCUCUACAGUCUGUAAAGUCGGCGAACAUUAGACUUCUCAGUCUGAAAAUGUUUGGGGAGAUGUUUUUCAACCUCUGGCAACAAUACAUCAGUAGUACACGGAGCCUCGUGAAAUCCUCAAUGCAGCAGGGAACUUCUCCAAUGGCGGUGUUUUCCAGAUAGAGCCAUACAAUAUUAGUUGAAAUCAGAGGAAAAGUUCUCAAACUUGAGCAACCACUGAGAUCGAGGAUACCCAGAGAUGACAAGUUGACAUCGGUUGGAAGAACCUCCAGCCCUGUGCAUCUUUUCAUGUACAAACGUCUCAAAUUUUGAAGAUUCCCAAUUGUAGAAGGAAGUGUCACCAAACUUUUGCAGUUGUUGAGUAUCAAAGACUCGAGCUUGGUGGCCUUUGAAAGAUCUAGAAUUUCUUCAAUGGCGGUGUUUUCCAGAUAGAGCCAUUUGAUACUCUUUGAAAUCAGAGGAAAAGUUCUCAAACUUGAGCAACCACUGAGAUCGAGGGUUUCGAGAGAUGACAAGUUGACAUCGGUUGGAAGAACCUCCAGCCCUGUGCAUUCUUUCAUUUCCAACCUCACCAAUUUUUGGAGAUUCCCAAUAGUAGAAGGAAGUGUCACCAAACUUUUGCAGUUGUUGAGAUAUAAAUGCUUCAGAUUGGUGGCCUUUGAAAGAUCUGGAAUUUCUGUCAGGUUUUCAGAUUCUGACAGAUCCAUCUCUUCGAGACUUCCAAGCGACUGAAAAAAACAUUAUCGAUGAUAAUCAUUUUAAUUUUAUACCUAUAUAUGUUUAAAAUUAUAAUUAAACAUUAUUACGUAUGUAUGUAAGACAUAACCGUGGAUCGACCACAAGCCAUAAAAACAAAUUUGGGUAUACUUAAUUAGUUAUAUAACAGAAGGUAAACAAAAAUCAGCAUAGCAUUAACAAUGUACCUGGAUGCCUUCCCAUAGCUUCUCAUGCUUGUAGCACCUCACAUUGAGAAAAACGAGAUAUUCUGGGCGAAAUUCACAAGGCAUACAUCUCAUAAGGCAGUCGAGAUAAUCUAGUCCAGCAGGGAGAUUCUUGUUCCAGAAACAAUCUUCUACCACGAUCUCAUUUCUCCCUUCCGGAAAGUCAACGUCUGAACAUCCCAUUUUGAUUGCUGGGAAAUUUCUCAAAUUCGGGCAUCCAGUGAGAUUGAGGUACUCGAGAGAUUCCAAGUUGAGAUCGGUUGGAAAACUCUCUAGCUUUUUGCAAUCACUAAUAUCUAAAUAGAUAAGUUUAAUGGCAUUCUGCAUCGAGGAAGGAAAUGUCACCAAGGAUUCGCAUUUACAAAUAUCUACUUCCUCGAGGUUUAUGGCUAAAGAAAGAUCUGGAAUCUCUUUCAAAUAUUUGGAACCACGCAGAAACAUCUGCUUGAGUCUUCCAAGUGGCUAAUAACAAAAUAGGGGAAAAGAGAGUACACACGUUAGUGAACAUUUUAAACAGAUUCAUUUUAGUUUUUCUAACAGAUUUAUGUUUAGAAAUUGAUCACUAAUAGAAUUAGUACCUGAGUUCCAUCCCACAGCUUCUCAAGGUCACUAUUCUCCAUUCUGAGUUUAACCAGAUACUCAACCUUAAAAUUAGAAUGCAAACGCUUCAAUGGACAAUUAUUCCACAAUAGCAAUCUGAGUUUACUAGGGAAAUAAACGAUGCCCUGAGUGCCUUCCAUACGUGAGCAAUCAACUGAUAGAUAUUCGAGAUUACACAUGCCUUCUAAUGAUUUUAAAUCUAUUAAUAGCACCCCCGAACAAUAUAACGUCCUCAGUUUAAUGGCAUUCUGAAUCGAGGAAGGAAGUGUCACCAAAGAUUCGCAUUCAGAAAGAUUUAAUUCCUCGAGGUUUAUGGCUAAAGAAAGAUCUGGAAUUUCUUUAAAAUAUUUGGAAUACCACAAAUUCAUCUUCUUGAGACUUCCAAGGGGCUGAAAACAACAUAUGGAAAAAGAGAAUACACACGUUCACAAUUUUUUUAAAACAGAUUCAUUUGAAGCUUUUCUAACAUAUAUAUGUUCAUAAAUAUACCACAGUUCUAUUCUAAAAACUGACAACUAAUAAAAUUUAUAAUUCGUACCAGAGUUCCUUCCCACAGUUUCUCAAGCUUACUAUUCUUCAUUAUGAGUUUAACUAGAUACUCCGCCCUAAAAGUAGAUGGCAAAGACUUCAACGGACAAUAAACCCAUUCUAGCAAUCUGAGUUUAAGGGGCAAAUAAACGAGGCUCUGAGGUAGAUCCCCAUCUGACCAAUAACCAAUUUCUAGAUAUUGGAGAUUACGCAUGCCUUUGAAUAAUUUUUCAUCUAUUAAGAACGACCUUGUCGUAAGAUAUCCCGGGUGUGGCAAACGUAUUCCAAGAAGAAUUUCUGUCCCCUGAAAAAAAAUCCGAAGAAAACUAAUAUAAUCUUAACAAUCGCAACCUUUUUUUAUUUUUCUGACACAUCAAAGCUACGUUUUAAUUACGCAUGAGGCAACAAUUGCUUAAGUUUAUCAAUCCCCAAAUUACGAUUAUACUAGAUAUUGACCCGCGGUGUACCGCGGGUGGAUAUGUUCAUAGAAAAGUUAUACAUAUUUUUUAUACGAAUUAUUAUUUUUAUAUAAAUAAUAUUUUCUUAACACAUAAUUUUUAUUUAUGUAAAUCUUGGAUAAUUCAUGUUUUAUGUUCUCAUAUUUGUUAGUUUAAUAUUAAAAUUCAGUAUUUGUUUUUUUGGUUUGGGUUUUUUAGAGAUAAUAAAGAUCUAAAAUUCAUGUUUGGGGUCGAUAUUUUUAUCAGAAAAUUAAAUAUUUUUAUUUUAAUUAAUAUUAUUUAUAUAUAUAAUAUAUUCAAGAAGUACAUCAAAGGCCUAUAUUUUUAUUAAAUAAAAAAUAAUAUUUUUGUCUUUAAAAUGAUCUAUAGAUAUAUGCUAUUGUUUUUUUAUGUAUGAUACUAUGAUACACCUCUGUAUGAUUUUUAUAACUAAUUUUUUUUAAAAAAAUUAAAAUUUUUUUUAGUGUUUAAAAUUGUAUAAUUGUAUUUUGAUUGUUAAUUUUAGGAUUUCAUCCAUAGUAUAUCAUCCCGUAUCAAUAUCGAUCCAAACUCAUCCCACCAUAUAACCUCGUCCCGUGAAAUUAAAACUUCAUAAAAUUUUAAAAUCAUUAAUAUUUUAAAAAAAUUUAUAGACUUUAACUUUUAAAAAAGUUUAAAAAUUUGUAAUACUUAACUUUUAAUAAAGUUUCAAAAUAUAUAAUAUUUUAAAACUUUAAAACUUUUACUUAUUUAAAAUAAAGAACCAAAGUAAAACGAAAGCUCCUGCUCUUUCGUUUUCAGAAUCACUUUGGUCUUUUUUAUAGUAUAACUCUUAACGAUUUCCUCAUUUUUAAGCAAUGUGAGACCUUUAAAACUUAUUUUUUUUCAUCGAUGGAGUAUUAUAUGUUUGUUUUAAGAAAUUUAAAUUUCAUCAGAUGCAAAAAAAAUCUAAUAUUUUAUUAACUAUAUGUAUUUUAUAUAUAAAGUAAAAAAAAAUAGAUAUAAAAACAAAUAUAGUGACAGAAAAAUUAUAUAUUUAUAUUUAAUGUCGAUAUAUAGAUUUUAGAAAAUUAGCCUUAAUCGAAUAUAGUUCAAUAAAGAAAGAUUUAGUUAAGGAUAAAAAUUUAGGAAAGAGUUAAUUCAACUAAUUAAUGCAAUUAAGCUAAUUGUAAUUUUUUAGUUAUAAAGUAUUUGAUUGAGAUUAAAUUUGUAAGGACUAAUAUUGAAAAUAGUAAAUAGGUGAGGGAUUUUUGGCCAAAAACCCUACCAAAAAUGUAUAUGUAGAUUGACAUAAAGUCAUGCAUUACAACGUUUAAGGAGAUGCGAAAAACUUACAGUUUUCUCGGCCAAUACUUCUUGAAUAUCCUCAAAAUUUGUCAGAAAUUGACGUUUUCCAGGAUUACCCUUGGACUUUGCACGAUCAAUUUCUCUACCCAAUUUCUCUAGCAAAUUGUGCAUCUCUAUAUCUCCAUCCGGUGUAAUACGUAUGAGGGACUUCUCAACCAACAUUGUAAGCCCAACAUCAUCUUCAAGUAAUUCUUUGACGUUACUGACUUUAAAACCAUUGAAGAAACAUGCAAUGCACUUAAAUAACUCUCUAUUUUUUUUAUUUAACCUAUCGUAGCAGACUCUUAGUGUUUCCUCAAUUUUAUCAUCUGAGUCAUUUCGAAGCCUAGGCAUCAUCUUCACCCACUCAUCUUUGUCCCUUCCUUUUAGAGAUGAACCCAAGACACUGAGACCCAAAGGAAGACUACCAGCAAGCUCGGCAACUUCAAAUGCUAGUGCCUUAAAAUCAUCAGGUGGAGAGUCUUUCCCAAAAGCAUAUUGGGAUAUCAUCUGAAGAGCAAGACCUUGAGAUGGCAGCUUCACCUCAUAUACAAGGUCAAUCUCAUGAGCCUUGAGAAGUUGCCUAUCUUGAGUGAUCACAAUUAUUCUGCUUCCAGAUCCAAACCAUUCAGCUUUUCCCACUAAGGUCUUAAGAAACUCUAGAUUAUCCACAUCAUCAAGAAGGAUAAGAACUUUUUUGUGCUUUAAUCUUUGCUCCACCACACCAAAAUGAUCUAUCUUUAUGUCCUUUUGACCUAAGAUUUCCGAGAGAAGUUCUUUUUGCCAACUCAACUUCAUGCCAGAGACGUCACUACCGCUGGUGCUUUUGUAAGUUACGAAAGCGCGAAGGGGGAAUUGGCUAGAGAGUUGACUGAAAAGAGCUCUUCCUAUGGUACUCUUACCAAUCCCUGACUGUCCCCAAAUCCCGACCAUUAUUUUAGCUUCUUUGGAUUCCAAGCACAGUAUUGAUUUUAUUGCCUCUAUAUGAUCUUCAAUUCCGACUAAGUCACCAAAACCCUUUGGCGGAUGAAAAAGUUUAUUCGAAACAUCAUUGGCUAUCUUUUCAACCAUAUGCGCAUCAUUAGGCCUAAUAACAAUAGUCAAAUGUGUCAAUAAAGAGGCACCCUUAAAAGCACAUCCAAGUCUAUGCAAAAAAUAUUGUAUAGUUCUACGAUAAUUAUAAACACACACAUAAUUCAAAAAAAAACACACACAUAAAUAAUGGAAUCAAAACAACAUACCCGUUCCGAAGAUCCUCCCCGGCAAUAUUUGAUAUAUCUGUGAGAGCUUUAACCCAUCUUUGUUUCUGAUCUGCUGGUUUGUCCUCGCAUGUCUUUUUAAAGACCUUUCCAAAUUCACCGAUCUGUUUUCUAACAUGAGAAGGAUCAACGUCGUAGAAAACCGGUAUCACCUUUUGUCCAAAAUAUUUAGAGCAAUUGUCGAUUUCAACCAAUUCAUUCAAGCACCACGUGGAAGCAGCAUAGUUCUUAGAGAAGAUGACAAUUGAGAUCCUCGCUUCUCUAAUCGCCGAUAUAAGCGCAUCGGCGAUUAUGCAGCUUCUCUCGAUGACGUGAUCCAUGAAUGUAUUGAUUGAUCUGCGAUUGAGCUGCUUAAGAAGAUGGCUGAGGAAAUUCUUGCGAACAUCUUCCCCACUGAAGCUUGGAAAAAUGUCGCUGCCAGAAGAAGAAGCUGCCGCCAUGAAAGAUGAUGAGUUUGAGAUAGAAUAUCUUUAAAAGAAGUAAAUCAGCAAUACAUAAUGAUUAGUGUGCAGGAAGAGGAGAAAUCGUGCAUAGAAGACUUAUGCUGUGCGAAACGGAGUACCUUAUAUUCGCUGGGAAACGUGCUGUUAUGUACAAGAUUAGUAAUUUUUUAGUGGUUAAUAUCAAAUCUCCUAACAAGAGUAGGGUGACGACAGGCACAAUUAAGAUAAUAAAUAACUAGAUAACACAGAAACUUCGCCUUUCAUUCGUCGAAGAGUUGCAUAGAAGACUUAUUAUACAAGAUGUUUAUUUUACUGGUUAAAAUCAAAUCCCUUAACAAGAGAGUAUGGUGAGACACACCUAAUAUAUAAUAACAAUUUAACACAGAAACUUCGCCUUCCUUUUCUUGAAGAUUUGCAUAGAAGACUUUGUUCAAGAUAUAUUUUUUUAGAGGUUAAUUGAUAUCAAUUUUCCUAACAAAGUAUGAUGUAUUAAGACAUAAUAAUAACUUAAUAAGACAGAAACUUCGCCUUUCUUUCGUUGAAGACUCGCAUAGAAGACUUGCUAGUUGCUAUACAAGAUAUUUAUUUUACAGGUUAAAAUCAAAUCCCCUAACAAGAGACUAUAGUGAGAGACACAAUCAAGUUAUAACAAAUUAACACAGAAACUUCCUUCCUUUCCUUGCAGGCUUGCAUAGAAGACUUACUGUACAAGUUAUAUUUUUGUAGUGUAUGAUGACAGACACAAUAAUAAAUACAAAGAAACUUCGCCUGGCAUAGAAGACUUACUGUACUUCUAGUGGUUAAAAUAAAAUCGCCCUGAAAGAACUCAUAACUUUUUAGGCUACGUCAGCCGAGAAAAUUGCGACAGGAGAGGCGACUAGGGUUUUUUUCUUUUGCCGCACGCGAAGGGUUCCUAGCAGUCAGCCACCGAAUCUAUGUUCAGAAGGAGAAAGGGAAUUAUACAACGAUGUUCCAUCGCCAUGAAAUUUGCUUGAAGAAACUGAUAACAGUAGUAUCAUACUUAUAGAAGAAGACAUCUGGAAAGUUCCAAAUUUGGAGCCGUCAAGCUUGUGUUUGCUACUGUUUUACCACAGAGUAAGUUGGAAGGUUCUUCAUAUGUUCUUACCGUAAUCUGCAUAAUAAAAUCAAAUCUAUUAAAUUCCUUUGGUCUAUUUUGCAGGUGAUCCUGAAAAUGAAUCAAGAGUUAGAUAUGUAAUUUUCCGUUCAAUAAUUCAAAGCUUCACCCGCUUUAGCUUCUUGCUUCUCCCAUUGACUAUGUCACUUUCUCUAGAAUGUUGGUUGUUCUCAGUUUGAGCGCUCGUACCACUACCAUCCUCAGAUGGAGAGGCAUCUAAAUGCCGUACGCUGAAUUUUUUUAUCCUCUUAAACGACAAGUUUGCGUGUCGUGGUCAAGCCCAAAUUUGACACAAGAACAAGCAUUGCUAUGAUAUUCAAACUUGAAUUUCACAUCGUUGUAGUCCAAUUCAUAUGGAUAACCAAAGACUUCUUCUGAAGGGCAAAACUCAGAGCGGAACACAACCAUAAUGUACUAGGUAAGAUUUUUGAAUUAGAUUGUGCUACUUUGAAUUCCGAUGGUGUUUUUUGCAGCGUUCUAUUCUUCUAAUCAUUAUAUACUUUGUAAGAAAUAAGUAGUUUAUAAUCAAUUCUUUGCGAAAAAAUUAGUAUAGCAAGCAAAAUAAUUUACGUUACUAGAUUUCAAAUCCCAAUUUGAGCGGGAAGUCCAUCUAGUUUGAAGCUAAAAGGCUUUAUGACAAAUAUACUCUAACAAGCUUGCAGGCCAAGCAAAUCAUAUUAGAAGCAAAAGAAAGGUCGAGAAAAUAUCUUAGGAACAUCAUUAAUGAAUGAGUUUAAGGAGAAUGUUACCUGGAUUACUUCCCAUAACUUCUCAAGCUUGCUACCUGGCAUUGUAAGCUCUGCGACACAUUCUGCAUGACAUUUAGACGGUAAAUAUUUUAUUGGACAAUCAAUCCAAACGAGUUCAGUGAGACCAAAGAUAUUCCCAAUAAAGAAACAAUCUAUGUCUUCUCUGAUUGCAGUUUCGUUUAGAUGGAGCUCUGAAAUGUUCUUUGAAAUUCGAGGGAAACAUCUCAAACUUGAACAUCCCCUGAGAUCGAGGUGUACUCUAGAGAUUCCAAGUUAACGCCGGUUGGGAGAACUUUUAGAUUUUUGCAUCCUUGCAUUUCCAACCGCCUCAGUUUAUUGAGAUUCCGAAUUGAAGAAGGAAGCAUCACUAAACUUUUGCAAUCGUUAAGUUCCAAGUGGUCAAGAUUGAUGGCCGUUGAAAGAUCUGGAAAUUCUUUCAGGUUUUCACUUCCUGACAAAUCCUUCCUCACCAGACAGACUCCUUCCCACAACUUCUCAAGCUUGCUAUUCUCCAUUGUGAGUUUAAUCAAAAUUUCAGCCCUAAAAUUGAAACACAUACUCGUCAACGGAUAUUCAUCCCAAUAUAGCAAUCUGAGUUUUCGGGCCAAAUAAAUGAAUCCCUGAGGUAAACACAAUCUGCUUUCACCAGUCUCUAGCGAUCGACAACUCCUUGUAAAAUUUUAGAAAUGUGAGAUUACACAUUCCUUUGAAGAUUGUCCAUUUACAAACAAUCUAUUUCUGAGAUUACACUCAUCGAUUUCUGUUGUGUUGAAAGACAUGCCUAGCACAUUUUCAGUUCCUGAAAAAAAAACAUUAGUAUUUUACAACGGUCACAAUAAUCUAUUACGUUAUAGAUGACUCUCUUCGAUUCAUAUGGAGUAGUGUACUCAAACAUGAAAAUCAACUGACCCACCUUCCUUCUUAGUGGGUCCGCCACUGAUCAACAAGCAAGUUCUUGAUAUAAUCAACUUUUUGAUCAUUAAGUAAACACGCAAUGUAAAGGAAGACUUCUUCUUACUCCUUCAUUGUGCCUUCUCAGAACAGGUUUGGUUUCUGGUUCUUCACAGACUAGGAUUACCACAAUGUACUUUUGUUGAUUGGUCUACUGUCAUCACUUGGCUCCUGACCAAAUCCCCUUCCCUAUCAAAUGCUUUGAAACGCAUUUCUGCCCAAGCCACUAUCUACCUGCUCUGGCGAGAAAGGAACAAUCGCUUACACAAUGAUCUUUCCUCUUCGGUCUCUGUGAUCUUUGGUCAGAUUGAUAGGAAUAUAAAGGAUACUCUUCUUGCUCGUCAGUACAGGAAAGGUUGUGGGAGACUUCUAUCCCAAUGGUUUUCUUAUAGUUAACAUAUCUAUUCUAUUGAUCGAUGUUUCAAUCAUGGCUUUUUAAUUUUUUUUGGGCCUUUGAAACUGGCUGCCUUUUGGCAUUGUAAAUAACAUUUCCACUUUCCUUCUAAGGUAAUAUAUAUUCACAAGUUAUCAAAAAAAAAAAAAAAAGGGAAGACUUCUUUAUCUUUGUCAUCUAACUUAUCGUAGCUGACUCUUAAUGUUUUCUCAAAUUUUCCGUCUAGACCAUUUCGAACCCUAGGCAACAACUCCAUCCAUAGUCCUUGUCCUUUCCUCUUAAUGAAGAAACCAAAAGAUUGAGACAUAAAGGAAGAUUACCGAAAAGUUUUGCAACUUCACGAGUUAAAUUCACGAAACCAUCUGGUGGAGCGUUUUGCCCAAAAACACAUCGACAAAACAUUUGUAGAGCCAAAAUUAUAUUUCAGAUGGAAAAUUCAGUUCAUAAACAAGGUCAAUCUUAUGAGACUUGAAAAAGUUUUUUUUAUCUUUACUUAUCACAACAAUUCUGCUUCCAAUCCCAAACCAUCCAGUUUGUGCCACCAAGGUCUUUAAUAGCUCAAGAUCAUCAACAUCGUCAAUAAUUAUAAGAACUUUCUUGUGCUUUAACCUUUGUUCCACCGCACAUAAAUGCAAAACCUUUAUGUCCUUUUGACAUAAAAUUUCUGAUAAAACCUGUUCUUCUCGGUUGGUUUAUAAGUUACGAAAGCGCGAAGGGGGAAUUGGCUAGAGAGUUGACUGAAAAGAGCUCUUCCUAGGGUACUCUUACCAAUCCCUACCAUUCUAGCUUCUUCAGAUUCCAAGCACAACAAUGAACUCAAUCUCUCUAAAUGAGCUUCAACACCAACGAAAUCACCUAAAUCACUCGAUGGUGUUAUGAGCUUAUUCGGAACAUCGUUGGAAAUUGUUUCAAUCAUGUUUGCUUCAUUACACCUAAAAAUCAAUACUCAAAUGUCAGCAAUGAACACUACAAUCGGAGUCUUAAGCCUAAUCAAACAAAAAUUUGAAAAAAAAAAAUACCAGUUUCGAGAAUCCUCUCCAGCCAUAUUUGCCACAUCUGCUAGAGCUUUCCUACACCUUUGUUUCUCAUCAUCUGUUUUGUUCUUGCAUGUCUCUUCAAAGACCUUUCCAAAUUCUCCGGUCUGUUUCCUAACAUCAGAAUGAUCAACCUCGUAGAAAAUCGGAGUCACCAUUUGAUCCAAGUUUUUAAAGCACUUGUGGAUCUCAACCAAUUCAUUCAAGCACUAGGUGGAAGAAGCAUAUAUACUUGUUAGAGAAGACGACGAUUGAGAUCCUCGAUUCUCUUAUAGCCAAUAAAAGCUCUGGGCCGAUUGGGCGGCUUCUCUCGAUCUCAUGGUCGAUGUGUAUUGAUUGAUCUGCGAUCAAGCUUCUUAAGUAGAUGGAUGAUGAAUGAAUUACGGACAUCUUCAUCGCUGAAGCUCGGAAAAACGACGUAUCUCUUGCUGCGAGAAGAAGAAGAUACUCUAAACCUCGACAAUGACUAUACGACUGGGGAUGAGAUGGAUCUGGAUGAGGAGAAUGAAGAUGAAGAACAAGCAGGCCUAGAUUCACUUGCUAGUACAGCUAAUAACAAGGUGAAAGGUAGACGUAGACGUAAGCGUUUCAAAGUGCUUAAUAAUUAGAGAUAAUUUUAGUACCACAAGGAUAAUUUUAGUACCAUUGGAACUAAACUGGAAGAUCAUUAUGAGUGAUGUGCAAUGCAAAUACUGCAAUCAUACUUAUUGCUUAGACCUACGUAGAAGUGGUACAACUACUAUGUUGCGUCACAUGAGAGUUUGCUCAAAGACUCCUGGAAGUACACCUGCAACUGGAAUAAAAAGCUUGAUAUGAUGGUGUUUAGGGAGAUGAUUGGAUUAGAUUAGCAAUAAUUGAGCAUGAUUUGCCUUUUUCUUUUGUUGAGGACAAAAUAAUUAGAGAGACAUUUCUCUAUGCUAAUUCUAGCAUAUAAUUUUGGAGUAGGAACACCGCAACUUUUGAUUUCAAGUAUUGGACCGAGCUAAUGGACAUGGACAGUCCAUUUCGACAGCUCUAGCUUUGGAUGAGACUUGAUGGUUUGGAAUUGGAGUUGACUCCUUCACAAAGUUUUAAUAGUUCUUCCUUGCAUGACACGGAAAAGGCUAUCUCCUUUUUUCACCACCUGAAGGGUUGCUUCUUGUACUGGUCACAUGUUUGGCCGAGGUUAAGUCACACGCUAUUGAAUCAGCGAUCCAACACUUUUUUUUUUUUUUGUUGUUGUUGUUAAUUCUCUUGUGAAUUUGCAAUAUACAAUUUUGUUUACCCAAAUUCUAAUUUAUUCUUUGCUUUAAAACAAAAAAAAACUUUGCUCACAUACAUGUUAUCAUUAUCGUCGAGAUAUAUGUUUUUUUAAUAAAGACAAAGACUAUUUUGGGUAGUACCUGACCUGAGUCAAGUAUGUAAAACCCUAAGAUCACAAAUUCAAUGUCUUUUCGACUAAAACAGAUAAACAGUACGGUACAAUACAAAACAUCCCAAUGAUAUCUUUCCAGAAUAUAAUGUGCUAUGGCUUUUUGAAAGAUGUAUUUAUUCUUUUAGGAAAAGCAAAAUUCUCAAAGAAGCAAAGACAGAUAAGUAAGAACAGAGUGCUUCACUUUCAGCUAAAGAAGAAAUUACAAACAUUUUCAUCAGGCUCCGGAGUUGGAGACCUAAAUGGAUUCUAGACUUCUGGUUCUCCAAAAGCUCUCCGUUACCUGAAGAAAAGAUGGCUUGCGUUAAAGCUAUGUAAUCGUCUUGUCAUUAUCAGUAUAGUCAUGGUCAAUCCCAAGUUGAUCCUAAAACAGAACAAAACAGAACUGGAAGAUGUUUUGAUUACAUUAAAAAGUUGAUAAGCUCUGGGAACAACGAAGGAUCCGCGGUAGGUGUUUCUAUAUAUUGUUGUUCAGUUAUCAUUGGAUCAAUACACAAAACUUCUUCCUCUAGACAUGGUUGGGAAAGACACAACGAUGCUCCAUCAACAUGAACGUUGCUAGAAGAAACUGAUGAAAACCUGGGUGGAAGAACUCCCCUGCCAAUAACGAAAGCUCCAGAUUUGUAGCGGUCAAUUCUGUGUCCGCUUCUAUUUGGCCACUUGGUAAGUUGAUAUAUUCUUCAGAUGUUCCUAUUAUCAUCUGCAUUAUAAACCAAACUAUCUAUCCUACGAAACUGUUCAUCCUCCAAAAAAAUCAAGAGACAGCUAUGCAACUUUCAGAUCAAAACUGGCAAAAGGCUUACCCGCAUCCGCUUCUUGCUUCUCCCAGUCUCUACUACAACAUCAACUUUUUCUACAGACUAUUGGUUGUCCUCUUUUUCAGGAGAGACAUUCAAAAUUCGUACACCGCAUCCCUUUAUGCUCUCCUUGGGAAUAAACACAAAUUCCAAAUUGUUGUCUGAUUUAGAUGGAACGUCUAUAGGCGGGAACUUGAAGGAACCCAAAACCAUAUGAUCCGUAUUACACAACGUCAUCGUACCAUGAAAUACUGUCUCCCAAAUAUGUAGGAACUUCUCCACCUGGUAGGACCGUCUUGACGUAUGAUCGUAGGAUGAGUUCCUGCGCAUCUCCAUCCAAUUUGAAACAAUUAAGGAGAUAGAAAUAUUCUCUUCUCAUCAAGUCGGCCAUUUGAUGGCCGUGCUUGUUUAAAUUUACUGUCAAUGGUUUCUAGGAAAUGCGAAAGCGUUAAAGAAGCAACCACAAGGAUGUAAGAACAGAGUACUUCUGCCUUCAGCCUUCAGCUAAAGAAGAAAUUGCAAACAUUAUCAUGCUCUGGAGUUGGACUCUUUAACGGAUUCUGGUUUUUUUUAAGUAGUAACCCCUGCAGGAAAUUAUUGCUUUGAUAAGCCAAACUCCACUAAGAGCUUGAUGCGCUUGAUGAGCUUGAUGACCUGUCCAACAAGCAAGAAAAGAGUCAAUGUUGAGAGUUGAAAGUAUAUAUAGAGUCUCUAAUCUCUGAGAGGUUAUUCAAUUAGUGAAUUGGUGUGUUUGUUAAGACUCCUGCAUGAGUCUCUUGGGUUGAGGAUUCAGAGCCCGAAACUCUGCAAUUCUCUUCAUUGUGUGACAGAUUCUUUGAUAGAUCAAUAAAAGAUUGCUUGUUUAUUCUUGUCAAGCUUGUGUGAAAAACCUAUGAAAUCAUCUUUUCAUUAUCACUAUAGUCAUGGUCGAUCCCAAGUGAUCCUAUAACACAAAAAAAAAACAGAAUAGUAAGAUGUUUCAGUUACCAUAACUCCCACUCCCAAUCCACAUUAGCUAUAUGAAUUUGUGCAUCUUGUUGUUCAGUAAUCAUGGAAUCAACACACAAAGCUUCCCCCUCCAGCCAUGGAUUAAAAGAAACUGAUGAUGAUUCUCCCCACCCUAACGGAACAGUGUCUGUUACUAUUUGGCCACAGGGUAAGUUGAAAUAUUUUUCAGAGUUUCCUAAUGUCAUCUGUAUAAUAAACCAAAAGAUGGAUUCUUUUAGAUAGUUCAUCCCUGAAAAAAAACAAUCAAGAGAUAGCUUUAAUAGUUUUCAGUUCAAAAUAAUGGCAAAAGGCUUACCCGCAUCCGCUUCUUGCUACUUUCAGUCUCUACAUCAUCACAUUUUUCUCCAGACUGUUGGUGGUACUCUGUUACAGAGUCUCCAUCACUAUCAUCCGGAGAUUCUGUUUCAGAGCUUCCCUCACUAUCAUCCGGAGAUGUAGACACAUUCAAGAGUCGUAUGCCGCAUCUUUUUACUCUCGUCCCGUUAAACUUAAAUUCCACAUCAUUGACGUCUAAUUUAGAUAGAAGACCUGUAGGCUGGAACUUGAAGGAACACAAAACUAGAUGAUCCGUCUUACACAUCAUUUCCAUGCCCUCAUAUAUUGUAUGUCUAUAAUGUUCGCCAUUGAACUGAAAGAGUACGUCCAUGCAUGCAAAAGAAUGGGUUAUAGGUUCAACCACGAGACAAGCAUUAAAUCGCAAGAAUUUAUGAGAAAGAGAGCUCUGAGGCAAAGUGACAGUUAGGGAAUUUCCAUAAGCUUGAUGCUUAAAAUAUGUAGGCACUUCUCCACCUGGUAAGACCAUAGUCGUCUUGAAGCAUGAUCCUAGGAUAAGUUCUCGCGCAGCUCUAUCCAAUUUGAAGCAAUUCUGGAAUUUAAAAUAUAUUUCUCCAUACUCAUCCUCGUCAUCCUCAUCCUCGUCAUACUCAUACUCAUACUCAUCCUCGUCAUCCUCAUCCUUGUCACAUUUAGGUCUCUUUUCGACCUUAUUUAUCUUUUCAUUGUUUUGAUCUUCCAUUGUUGUCACCGGAUCACUCAACGCUGUGAUGACACCUCCACAGUCUGUAAAGUCGACCUUCAUAAGCCUUGUCAGUCUGAAAAUGUUCGGGGAUAUGUUUUUCAACAUUUUGCAACCACUCAUAUUUAGUACCUUGAGCCUCGAAAAUUUCUCAAUGAAGCAGGGAACUUGUUCAAUGGCGGUGUCAGCUAGAUUGAGUUCUUGAAUACUAGUUGAAAUCUGAGGAAAUCUUCUCAACGACUUGCAACCACGCAUCGAUAAUUCCAUGAGCCUCGAGAAAUUCUCAAAACAUGGAACUUCUUCAAUGGCAGUGUCAUCUAGAUUGAGUACUGCAAUACUUUUUGAAAUCUGAGGGAUAAAUCUCAAACUUGAGCACCCUUUGAGAUGGACUGUAUGGAGAGAUGACAAGUUGAUAUCCAUAGGAAGAACCUUCAGCCCUGUGCAUUCUUCCAUAUUUAACGUGUAUAAUUUUUGGAGAUUCCCAAUUGUAGAAGGUAACAUCACCAAACUUUUGCAAUUUGAGAGAUCCAAAAUCUCCAGAUUGGUGGCCUUUGAAAGGUCUGGAAUUUCUAUCAUGUUUUCACAUUCUGACAGAUCCACCCUCUUGAGUUUCCCAAGCGACUGAAACAGAGUAAAACAUUGUUAUGCUUUUCUUUUUUCUGAAUGUAAAACGUUGUUAUGCUUUAAUCAUUGUCAAUACUAUAUCUGUUUAGUGUUAUAAUCAAGAACAAGACAUAAUUUUGUAUAUAAUACACGUAUAAAUCGUACCUGGACGCCUUCCCAUAGCUUCUCAAGCAUGUUGUUGCCUCUCACUGUGAGGUUUUUGAGAUGUUCUGGGCGAAAUUUACUUGGAUUACAUCUCCUAAGGCAAUCGAGAUAAUCGAGUCCAGGGAGAUUCUUGUUCCAUAAACAAUCUGCUACCUCGAUCUCAAUUUCAUCUGUAAAGAUGAAACUUUGCAUUAUAAUCUCAGGGAAAUUUCUCAACCGGGGGCAUAGUAGGAGAUUGAGGAACUUAAGAGAUUCCGAGUUGAGAGGACUUGGAAAACUUUCUAGCACUUCGCAGUUACAAAGAUCUAAUUCCUCGAGGUUUGUGGCUAAAGAAAGAUCUGGAAUUUCUUUCAAAUUGUUGGAAUUCCUCAAAUUCAUCUUCUUGAGACUUCCAAGAGGCUGAAAACAACAUAUGGAAAAAGAGAAUAACACAGAUUUAUUUAGAUUGUUUAACAAAUAAAUUAAUAAAAAUAACACAGUUCUGUUUUCAAAUAGACAACUCGAAACAAUAAAGAAUUAGUACCUGAGUUCCAUUCCACAGCUUCUCAAGGGCACUAUUCUCCAUUCUGAGUUCAACCAGAUACUCAGCCUUAAAAUUAGAAGGCAAACGCUUCAAUGGACAAUUUUCCCACCGUAGCCAUUUGAGUUUACGUGGCAAGUAAACGAGGCCGUUAGGUAGACGCAAUCUGGUUUCUCUCGGUUGCCACCAGUAAUGAUCAUGAAUAUUUAGAAAUUGGAGAUUAAGCAUGCCUUGGAACGAGUUUUCAUCUAUUGAAAUAAAUGGCUUAUCGAUUUGUGAAUCUGAUGACGUGCUGAAAUCUAUUCCGAGCAAUUUUUCAGUGCCCUGACAAAAAAAAAAAACCCAAAGAAAACUGUUAUCCUCAAGUACCAAACUAAAUCAAUGUUUUUAACAUCAAAAGCCAAUCGUUGAAUUAAUAUAAAGUGGUGCAUUAAGCUGCAAAAACUUACGGUAUUAUCGGUAAAUACGUCUAGAAUUUCCUCAGCAUUCUCCAGAAAUCGACGUUUUCCAGGAUUACCAUUAGACUCUUCACGAUCAAUUUCUGUAGCCAACUUCUGAAGCAAAUUGUGCAUCUCUAUAGUAUCAUUCGGUGUUAAACGUAUGAGGGACUUAUCAUCCAACGUUUUGAGCCUAAUGUUAACAUUAACACCAUCUCCGAGGAAGUCUUUGAUGGAUUUGACUUUCCAACCAUUGAAUAACCAUGCAAUGUAAUGGAAUAUAUCUUGAUCUUUUGGAUCUAAUCUAACGUAGCUGACUCUUAAUGUUUUCAUAAUAUCUCUGUUCAAACCAUUUUGGAGCUCAGCCAGCAUCUCCAUCCACUCUUCUUUGCUCCUUCGUUUUAAAGACGAACCAAGGACACUGAGACCCAAAGGAAGAUUACCGGCAAGCUUUGCAACUUCAAAUGCUAGUUCCUUAAAAUCAUCAGGUGGAGAGUAUUUCCCAAAAGCAUAUUGGCAUAUCAUCUUAAGAGCAAGACCUUGAGAUGGGAGCUUCACCUCAUAUAUAAGGUCAAUCUCAUGAGCCUUGAGAAGUUGCCUAUCUUGAGUGAUCACAAUUAUUCUGCUUCCAGAUCCAAACCAUUCAGCUUUUCCCACCAAGGUCCUAAGAAACUCUAGAUUAUCCACAUCAUCAAGAAGGAUAAGAACUUUCUUGUGCUUCAACCUUUGCUCCACCACACCAAAAUGCUCUAUCUUUAUGUCCUUUUGACCUAAGAUUUCCGAGAGAAGUUCUUUUUCCCAACUCAACUUCAUGCCAGAGACGUCACUACCACUGGUGCUUUUAUAAGUUAUGAAAGCGCGAUGGUGGAACUGGCUAGAGAGUUGACUGAAAAGAGCUCUUCCUAUAGUACUCUUACCAAUCCCUGACUGUCCCCAAAUCCCGACCAUUAUUCUAGCUUCCUUGGAUUCCAAGCACAGUUUUAAUUUUAUUGCCUCUAUAUGAUCCUCAAUUCCGACUAAGUCACCAAAACCCUUUGGCAGAGGAAAAAGUUUAUUCGAAACAUCAUUAGCUAUCUUUACAACCAUGGCUGCUUCACUAGGCCUAAUAACAAUAGUCAAAAUUGUGUCAAUAAAGAGGCACCCCUAAAAGCACAAUCGAAGAUUCGAAGUGAACGCCAAGAAAAGAAAAAAAAAAGUACAGUUUUGCAAUAAUUAUAAACACUCAUAGAAAUAGUGGAAUAAAUAAAACAUACCCGUUCCGAAGAUCCUCCCCGGCUAAAUUUGAUAUAUCUGUGAGAGCUUUAACCCAUCUUUGUUUCUGAUCCUCUGGUUUGUCCUCGCAUGUCUUUUUAAAGACAUCGCCAAAGCCACCGAUCUGUUUUCUAACAUGAGAAGGAUCAACGCCGUAGAAAACCGGAAUCACCAUUUGAUCCAAGUCUUUGUCCUUGUGACACUUGUGGAUCUCCACCAAUUCAUUCAAGCACCACGUGGAAGAAGCAUAGUUCUCAGAGAAGAUAACUAUUGAGAUCCUCGCUUCUCUAAUGGCCGUUAUAAGCUCAUCGGCGAUUAUGCAGCUUCUCACGAUGCCGUGAUCCAUGAAUGUAUUGAUUGAUCUGCGGUCGAGCGCCUCGAUUAGAUGGCUGAGGAACGUUUUGCGAACAUCUACCCCACUGAAGCUUGGGAAAACGUCGUAUCUCCGGCUACUAGGAGAAGAAGAAGAAGAAGAAGAAGAUGAGCUCAGGGUCGUGGUGGAGGUCGGUGGUUGUGGCCAGUGGGUGGGAAGGGUGGAAGCUAGUUUGUAUGUAUGGGGCUGAGGUGGUGCUGAGUUAUGUUGUAAUCACUGUUUUUUACUCUGAGUGUAGGAAACGCCAUGGUAGCAGUGAUGCAAUUGUUGCUGAUGAGGUUGCUAUUUAAAACUUUUUUGUUGUUGAUAGUUCUCUUGUGAAAUUGUGAAAUACAUUUUUGUUUACCAAGAUUAUGAUUUAUUCAUUGCUUUAAAGAGAGGAAAAUAACAUUUCGUAGAGAGAGAUAUGUGUUUCAACAGACAAGACUGUUAUAUUCACAUCUUUCAGGAGAAGCGAAAUUUUCAAAGAAGCAAAACAGAGAAGUAAGAAUAGAGUACUUCUGUUCUGGACAUGGAACCAUAAAAGGUUUCUAGCUGUCAGUAAGUGUUCCAUCAUCUGCAGGAGAAAAUGGCUUGUGUGAAAAACUAAGAAAUCGUCUUGUCAUUACCAGUAUAGUCAUGGUCGAUCCCAUGUUCAUUAUGAAACAGAGUUGUAAUACGUUUCAGGUCACCUUAACAAUGUGAUAAGCUGUGGAGACGGCUAAGGAUCCAGGAAAGGAAUCUUAACAAUGUGAUGGUGUGAAUUCAGUCAAGGCAGAUCUUAACUGAUCAGGGUCAGCAGUGAAAGGUGUCGUCCCCAUCAGACCAAACGUCUAUCAUCUUAGGCCCUCGAUGCAAAGAUCUGAAGCAAACCAAUUCAGUCAAGAACAGCCCCAGAGAAUGAGCUUCCUAUCCUAGAUGUUCUAGUGAGUAGUUCAGGCCUACAACUUUCACUCUUUAUCAUAUAAUUAAAGAGUGCAGCGGGAUGGGGGAACAGCAGCGACAUGUUUUCUCAUCGACGUAGGAUAGCUGGAUGAUACUUCAUGGUUUGGAAGUGGACCAGACAAUGUCUCCUGCAGAAAGUUUAAAAGCUCUUUCCUUCAGCUGAUGGAUUGUUCCUUAUGCUGGUCACAUCUUUGGCCAAAGUUAGGCCAAAAACGCUUCUGCCUUUUGGCUAUUGAAUCAGCAAUGCAAAUGUUGUUGAUGACAAGGAUCUUGCUAUUUAAAAUUAGUUCCAACACACUCUUGUUGUCAAUUCUUUUGUGAAUUUGCGAUAUACAUUUUUGUUUACGCAAAGUCUGAUUUCUCUAUUCAUUGCUAAUAAAGAGAAAAACAACCUGUGCUAAUAUACACAUUGAGAUCUAUGUUUCAAAGAAAAGGCAGACAAAAUGUUCAAAGCAAACAGAGUGUUUCUGCAUUCAGAUAAAGAAGAAAUUACAAACACUUUCAGGCUCCGGAGUUGGAUGAUUAAACGGAAUUUGGUUCUCCAAAUAUCAUUCUGCAGAAUAAAAUGAUCUCCAUGUACCAUCUAUCAAUAAAAAAUGGCUUGUGUCAAAACCUAUGAAAUCGUCUUGUUAUCAUUAUAGAUAUAUAAUCAUGGUCGAUCCCAAGUUAUCCUAAAACAGACCAAAACAGAAUGAUAAGAUGCUUCAGUUACCAGAAACAGGAUCCAAGAAAGGAAUGUCUUCAUCUUGUUCUUUAGUUAUCAUAUAAUCAACAGACAAAGCUUCCCCCUCUAGAGAUGUUGAUGAUGAUGCUUCUCCCUCCCCUAACGAAAGCUCCAUAUUUAGAGCGGCCAAUCCUGUGUCUGCUACAAUUUGGUCACCGGCUAAGUUGAUAUAUUCUUCAGAUGUUCCCGAUGUCAUCUGCAUUAUAAAUCAAACGAUCGAUUCUAUUAAAUAGUCUGUCUCUAUGGUAUUUCGAUCCUGGAAAAUCAAAUCAAAAGUCAAAAUAUAGCUUUAUAAUUUUCAGCUCUAAUCAAAAGUCAAAAGAUACCCGCAUCCGCUUCUUGCUUCUCGUAGUCUGUUGGUUGUACUCUGUUUCUUGAGAGACAUACAUGAGUCGUACACCGCAUUCUUUGAUCCUAUUGGAGCAACAAAACUUAAACUCCACAUCGUUGAAAGUCAUUUCAGACUCGAACUUGAAGGAACAGAAAAACAGAUGAUCCGUCUUACAAAACUCCAGUUCUUCAUCUUCCAAAAAUGAUUUCUGAUACUGUUUGCCAUUGAAGCCAAAGUUUACCUCCAAAUAUCGAUAAAAACCCUUGCCCUCGGAGAGAGGGUCAACCACGAGACAAGCCUUAAAUCGCAAGAAGGAUUGAGAAAGAGAGCUCCGAGGUAAAGUGACAGUUAGGGAAUCUCCAUAAGCUCGAUACGUGAAAUACUUAGGGAUUUCUCCACCUGGUAAGGCCACAGGCUUGAAGCAUGAUCGUAGGAUGAGCUCUCGCGCAUCUCUAUCCAAUUUGAAGCAAUUACGGAAGCUAAAAUAUUCAGUACCUAAGUCCCAAUCACCAUCACCAUACAACUCACCCCAGAAACGUUCACAUGUAUAUUCAAUGUUUUCAGAUAAUGGUACACAAGAAACGCUAUCUUCCAUUGUCGCUACCACAGUUGCAUCACUCAACGCCUUGAUGACACCUCUACAGUCUGUAAAGUCGGCGAACAUUAGACUUCUCAGUCUGAAAAUGUUUGGGGAGAUGUUUUUCAACCUCUGGCAACAAUACAUCAGUAGUACACGGAGCCUCGUGAAAUCCUCAAUGCAGCAGGGAACUUCUCCAAUGGCGGUGUUUUCCAGAUAGAGCCAUACAAUAUUAGUUGAAAUCAGAGGAAAAGUUCUCAAACUUGAGCAACCACUGAGAUCGAGGAUACCCAGAGAUGACAAGUUGACAUCGGUUGGAAGAACCUCCAGCCCUGUGCAUCUUUUCAUGUACAAACGUCUCAAAUUUUGAAGAUUCCCAAUUGUAGAAGGAAGUGUCACCAAACUUUUGCAGUUGUUGAGUAUCAAAGACUCGAGCUUGGUGGCCUUUGAAAGAUCUAGAAUUUCUUCAAUGGCGGUGUUUUCCAGAUAGAGCCAUUUGAUACUCUUUGAAAUCAGAGGAAAAGUUCUCAAACUUGAGCAACCACUGAGAUCGAGGGUUUCGAGAGAUGACAAGUUGACAUCGGUUGGAAGAACCUCCAGCCCUGUGCAUUCUUUCAUUUCCAACCUCACCAAUUUUUGGAGAUUCCCAAUAGUAGAAGGAAGUGUCACCAAACUUUUGCAGUUGUUGAGAUAUAAAUGCUUCAGAUUGGUGGCCUUUGAAAGAUCUGGAAUUUCUGUCAGGUUUUCAGAUUCUGACAGAUCCAUCUCUUCGAGACUUCCAAGCGACUGAAAAAAACAUUAUCGAUGAUAAUCAUUUUAAUUUUAUACCUAUAUAUGUUUAAAAUUAUAAUUAAACAUUAUUACGUAUGUAUGUAAGACAUAACCGUGGAUCGACCACAAGCCAUAAAAACAAAUUUGGGUAUACUUAAUUAGUUAUAUAACAGAAGGUAAACAAAAAUCAGCAUAGCAUUAACAAUGUACCUGGAUGCCUUCCCAUAGCUUCUCAUGCUUGUAGCACCUCACAUUGAGAAAAACGAGAUAUUCUGGGCGAAAUUCACAAGGCAUACAUCUCAUAAGGCAGUCGAGAUAAUCUAGUCCAGCAGGGAGAUUCUUGUUCCAGAAACAAUCUUCUACCACGAUCUCAUUUCUCCCUUCCGGAAAGUCAACGUCUGAACAUCCCAUUUUGAUUGCUGGGAAAUUUCUCAAAUUCGGGCAUCCAGUGAGAUUGAGGUACUCGAGAGAUUCCAAGUUGAGAUCGGUUGGAAAACUCUCUAGCUUUUUGCAAUCACUAAUAUCUAAAUAGAUAAGUUUAAUGGCAUUCUGCAUCGAGGAAGGAAAUGUCACCAAGGAUUCGCAUUUACAAAUAUCUACUUCCUCGAGGUUUAUGGCUAAAGAAAGAUCUGGAAUCUCUUUCAAAUAUUUGGAACCACGCAGAAACAUCUGCUUGAGUCUUCCAAGUGGCUAAUAACAAAAUAGGGGAAAAGAGAGUACACACGUUAGUGAACAUUUUAAACAGAUUCAUUUUAGUUUUUCUAACAGAUUUAUGUUUAGAAAUUGAUCACUAAUAGAAUUAGUACCUGAGUUCCAUCCCACAGCUUCUCAAGGUCACUAUUCUCCAUUCUGAGUUUAACCAGAUACUCAACCUUAAAAUUAGAAUGCAAACGCUUCAAUGGACAAUUAUUCCACAAUAGCAAUCUGAGUUUACUAGGGAAAUAAACGAUGCCCUGAGUGCCUUCCACACGUGAGCAAUCAACUGAUAGAUAUUCGAGAUUACACAUGCCUUCUAAUGAUUUUAAAUCUAUUAAUAUCACCCCCGAACAAUGUAACUUCCUCAGUUUAAUGGCAUUCUGAAUCGAGGAAGGAAGUGUCACCAAAGAUUCGCAUCCUUCAAGAUCUAAUUCCUCGAGGUUUCUGGCAUUAGAAAGAUCUGGAAUUUCUUUCAAAUUUUUGGAACACAACAAAUUCAUCUUCUUGAGACUUCCAAGGGGCUGAAAACAAAAUAUGGAAAAAGAGAAUACACACGUUCACAAAUAUACCACAAUUUUCUGUUCUAAAAACUGACAACUAAUAAAAAUUUAGAAUUCGUACCAGAGUUCCUUCCCACAGUUUCUCAAGCUUACUAUACUUCAUUAUGAGGUUAACUAGAUAUUCCGCCUUAAAAGUAGAUGGCAAAGACUUCAAUGGACAAUCAUCCCAGUCUAGCAAUCUGAGUUUAAGGGGCAAAUAAACGAGGCUCUGAGGUUGACCCCCAUCUGACCAAUCACCAAUUUUUAGAUAUUGGAGAUUACGCAUGCCUUUGAACGAUUCUUUAUCUAUUAAUAACGGCCUUGUCGAAAAAUAUUCCUCGAAUGGCAAACGUAUUCCAAGAAGAGUUUCUGUCCCCUGAAAAAAAAUCCGAAGAAAACUAAUAUAAUCUUAACAAUCACAACCCUUUUUAUUUUUCUGACACAUCAAAGCUACAUUUUAAUUACGAAUGAGGCAACAAUUGCUUAAGUUUAUCAAUCCCCAAAUGACGAUUAAAUUAAUAUAAAGUCAUGCAUUAAAACGGAGCUGCGAAAAAAACUUACAGUUUUCUCGGUCACUACUUCAUGAAUAUCCUCAAAAUUCGUCAGAAAUUGACGUUUUCCAGGAUUACCCUUGGACUUUGCACGAUCAAUUUCUCUACCCAAUUUCUCUAGCAAAUUGUGCAUCUCUAUAUGUCCAUCCGGUGUAAUACGUAUGAGGGACUUCUCAGACAACAUUGUAAGCCCAACAUUAUCUUCAAGUAAAUCUUUGACGUAACUGACCUCAAAACCAUUGAAUAAACACGCAAUGCAAAGGAACAUAUCUUGAUCUUUUUGAUGUAAUCUAUCGUAGCUGACUCUUAAUGUUUUCAUAAUAUCUCCGUUCAAACCAUUUCGGAGCCUAGGCAUCAUCUCCAUCCACUCUUUUUUGCCCCUUCUUCUUAAUGACGAACCCAGGACAUUGAGACCCAAAGGAAGAUGGCCGGCAAGCUUCGCAACUUCAAAUGCUAGUUCCUUAAAAUCAUCAGGUGGAGAGUCUUUCCCAAAAGCAGAUCGGCAUAACAUCGUAAGAGCAAGACCUUGAGAUGGCAGCUUCACCUCAUAUACAAGGUCAAUGUCAUGAGCCUUGAGAAAUUGCCUAUCUUGAGUGAUCACAAUAAUUCUGCUUCCCGAUCCAAACCAUUCAGCUUUUCCCACCAAGGUCUUAAGAAACUCUAGAUUAUCCACAUCAUCAAGAAGGAUAAGAACUUUCUUGUGCUUCAACCUUUGCUCCACCACACCAAAAUGCUCUAUCUUUAUGUCCUUUUGACCUAAGAUUUCAGAGAGAAGUUCUUUUUCCCAACUCAACUUCAUGCCAGAGACGUCACUACCACUGGUGCUUUUAUAAGUUAGGAAAGCGCGAAGGGGGAAUUGGAUAGAGAGUUGACUGAAAAGAGCUCUUCCUAUGGUACUCUUACCAAUCCCUGAUUGUCCCCAAAUCCCGACCAUUCUAGCUUCCUUGGAUUCCAAGCACAAUACUGAUUUUAUUGCCUCAAUAUGAGCUUCAAUUCCGACGAAGUCAUCAAAACACUUUGACCGAGUGAUAAGUUUAUUCGAAACAUCAUUGGAUAUCUUUUCAACCAUAUGCGCUUCAUUAGGCCUAAUAACAAAAGUCAAUUUUGUCAAUUAAGAAGCACCCCUAAAAGAAGAACCGAAGUCUAUGCAAAAAUAUAGUUCUGAGACAAUUGAAAACGCAAGCAGAUAUAUUGGAAUCAUAACAACGUACCCGUUCAGAAGAUCCUCUCCGGCUAUAUUUGCUAUAUCUGUGAGAGCUUGCACCCAUCUUUGUUUCUGAUCCCCUGGUUGUUUGUCCUUGCUGACCUCGCAUGUCUUUUCAAAGACCUUUCCAAAUUCGCCGGUCUGUUUUCUAACUUCCGAAGGAUCAACGUCGUAGAAAACUGGAAUCACCAUUUGACCUAAAUCAUUAAAGCACUUGUGGAUCUCAACCAAUUCAUUUAAGCACCACGUUGAAGAAGCAUAGUUCUUAGAGAAGAUGACGAUUGAGAUCCUAGCUUCUCUAAUCGCCGAUAUAAGCUCAGGGGCGAUUGUGCGGCUUCUCUCGAUUCCAUGAUCGAUGAAUGUAUUGAUUGAUUUGCCGUCGAGCGCCUCGAUUAGAUGGCUGAGGAACGUCUUGCGAACAUCAACCCCACUGAAGCUUGGAAAAACGUCGUAUCUCCGUCUGCCAGAAGAAGAAGAAGCCGCCAUGGGAGAUGAUAGAGAGAACUCAGAGAAGAGACGAAGAUUUUUAAGAGAAGUAAAUCAGCAAGACAUAGUGUGAGAAAGAGAGGAGAAACUUCGUCUUCCUUCCCUCCAAGACUUGCAUAGAAGACUUACUGUACAAGAUAUUCUUUUAAGUGGCUAAAAUCAAAUCUCCUAACAAGACAAUUGAGACGUAAAUAAUAAAGAAACUCGGCCCUUCCUUUCCUCGAAAGCUUUUUUACACUACAUACAAAGAUAUUUUUGAAGAUUGAAUUUUUGUGGUUGUCACUGAAUUAUGAUAAGUCUUAGUCUUUGUACAAGACAGAAAUAAUAUUUCAAUUUCUAGGCAAGUAGACAGAAACUUACAUUCGUUUCCUCUACAAAGAUAUUUUGAAAACACAAAUUUUGUGGUUAUCAGUUGUCCUUGUACAAGACAGUUUAUCGUAAGAAUGUUAUGAUUGUUUAAUAUCUAAGUCUUGUUUCCCUAUACAUACAUGCACACGGUUUAGGAGAAUAAGUAUAUCGAUUAUGAGGAUUUUAAUUCAAAUAAUACAGUGAAAAUACUAAUUAACACUAACUCUCUAGUUUGCUAAAUUACUCUUUUAGUUUUCAAGAAUUGUAUUAUUAGUUUAAAGUUUGGCUUAGUGCGUCAGCCACCACUGUAGUUUUAAGGAGCAUUUGGUUUCUAAGGGUUUCAUGUACUGGAUGGAAGAACUCGUGUCUGAGAACAUCCUCUGCGCUGUUUCGUUGCCUUGGGUUAACGGUCAAACAUCUAUCCACGAAGUCAAGGAGCGGCCGUGGAAUUGCGUCUAGAAACUCUCUGCGUUUGUGUUGAGUUCACACCAUUUUCUCAACUCCAGCCCCUUGAAGUACCUUGACUCGUACAAUUCCUGAAACAACAACACAAAACUCUACGUGAAUUCAUCUCACACGAUCAUCUAUCUAAUCAUUUUGUCACUAAUUUACAUUUUAAAGAUAUAUAAUGCUAACGAUGAAAACCCUUUUGUGAUAUUUGAAUCCAUAUGCUGGUGGCAAAGAAGAACAGAGCAUGUAUGUUAUAUUCAAACCAAUGCAGCAAUCAAAUAAAUGGAGAGUUUUAUCAGGGAGGUAAGAUGAGAUGUAACCUCAGGGAAAGAGGAUUCACGGUUGUGCAGCUUGGCUACUUCCCAUAAUUCUUCACUGCCUCGUAGUUGCGCAAUGCCCUUUAUGUUCCUGGGAAUGACAAGGUCGUUGUAAGACGGCAAGAAAGAAAAAAGAGUGGAAUCGACUGAUGGUGUAUUAUUUUUUUUUUCUAUUAUUAGGUAAUUGGUACAAUAUCUGAAGCAAACCUGCACAAACCAAUUCAGCUAAAAUAAGCACCAGAGAAAUUAGCUUUCACAUCCUAAAUGUGAUAAUGACUAGUUCACUCCUACAAUUGUAGUCUCAGCUCUCAAUGCACAAGUUUAUUAUAUAUGGAAUUAAUUACUAACAUACACAUUGAGAUGUAUCUGUGUUUUUAGAAAAGUCAGGACUAAUUUAAAAACAUUAACUAAUUCAAUGUCUUUUAAACUUAUCCAUAGAUGUAAGGAAACAUACAAAAUCUGUCAAAAAUACUUUUCCAGAAUGAGCUAAAUUGUGGCUUUCAAAACAUGUAUUUAUACGAAAGCCUUAGAGAAGUAGAUACAAAGAUGUAAGAACAGAGUACCAUGCUCUAGAGUUGGAGACUUAAAAAGGCACCAGCGACGAAGAGCUUGAUGAGCCUGAUGAGCCUGAUGACCUAUAAAAGAAGAAAGAACAGAGUCAAAGAGUCAACAUUAUAACUAAAUAUUGAGUCUUUAAAGUAUAUAUAUAUAGAGAGAGAGUCUCUAAUUCUGUGAGAGAUUGAUUAUCCAAUCAGUGAAUUGGUGUGUUUCAGAGCCUGAAACUCUGCAGUUCUCUUCAUUAUAAUUCAGGUUAUUUGAUAGAUCAAUAAAGAUUGCUUGUCUUGUUAUGCUGCAACAAAACAAAACAGAAUAGUAAGAUGUUUCAGUUACCAUGAUGCCUCAGAAUCUUCGUCCCUAUGCGCGAUGGGAAUUUCUUUAGCUUGUCGCUUAGUUAUCAUGGAAUCAACAGAGAAAGCUUCACCCUCCAGACAUGGAUAUGAAAUUGAUGACGAUUCUCCCCGCCCUAAUGGAAGCUCCAGAUUUGGAGCGGUCAAUCCUGUGUCUGUUACUGUUUGGCCACAGGGUAAGUUGAAAUCUUCUUCAGAGUUUCCUAAUGUCAUCUGUAUAAUAAACCAAACUAUCGAUUCUUUUAGAUAGUGGCCUUCCUGAAAUAUUAAAAAGAAAAUCGAGAGAUAGCUUUAAUAGUUUUCAGUUCAAAUUAUGGCAAAAGACUUACCCGCAUCCGCUUCUUGCUACUACUCUCAGUCUCUACAGCAUCACAUUUUUCUCCAGACUGUUGGUUGUACUCUGCUUUAGAGCUUCCAUCACUAUCAUCCGGAUAUGGAGACACAUGCAGGAGUUGUACGCCGCAUCCUUUGAUCCUCCUCCCUUUAAACUUGAAUUCCACAUUAUCCAAGACCUUUACCUUUGGAUAUAGAGUAUUUUUAAACUGCCGGAACUUGAAGGAACACAAAACCAGAUGAUCCGUCUUACACAUCAGUGUCAUAUCAGUAGCUAUUGUAUGGAUAUAAUGUUCGCCUUUGUAUUGGAAGUAUACAUACACACUCCCAUAAGAAUCGGUUUGAGGUUCAACCACUACACAAGCAUUGAAUCGCAAAAAUUUGUGAGAGAGAGAUCUCCGAGGUAAAGUGAUAUUUACGGAAUUUCCAUAUGCUCGAUGCUUGAAAUAUGCAGGCACUUCUCCACCUGGUAAAACCAUAGUCUUCUUGAAGCAUGAACGUAGGAUGAGUUCUCGUGCAUCUCUAUCCAAUUUGAAGCAAUUCUGGAAGUUAAAAUAGUUUCUUCCAUACCAAUAAUUAUCUUCAUCCUCAUCCUCCUCCUCAUCAUCCUCCUCCUCAUCCUCGUCCUCAUCCUCAUCAUCGUCAUCGUCAUCUUCAUCCUCCUCAUCCUCAUCCUCAUCCUCAUCCUCGACAUCGGUAUUCUCGUUAUACUCAUCCUCAUCCUCAUUCUUGUCAUAACUCAUCCUCAUUCUCGUCAUCCUCAUUAUAGUCAUCCUCAACAUCAUCGUCUCGUGUACGCAUCUUUUCAAUCUUUUCAUAGUGAUCAUCCAUUGUUGCCACCACAGUGGAAUCACUCAACGCCGAAAUGACACCUCCACAGUCUGUAAAGUCGACCUUCUUAAGCCAAGUCAGUCUGAAAAUGUUCGGGGAGAUGUUUUUCAACUUUUUGCAACCACUCAUAUUUAGUAUCUUGAGCUUCGAAAAAUUCUCAAUGAAGCAAGGAACUUGUUCAAUGGCGGUGUCAGCUAGAUUGAGUUCUUGAAUACUAGUUGAAAUCUGAGGAAAUCUUCUCAACGACUUGCAACCACGCAUCGAUAAUACAAUGAGCCUCGAGAAAUUCUCAAAACAUGGAACUUCUUCAAUGGCAGUGUCAUCUAGAUUGAGUACAGCAAUACUUUUUGAAAUUUGAGGGAAAAAUCUCAAACUUGAGCACCCUUUGAGAUUGACUGUAUGGAGAGAUGACAAGUUGACAUCCAUAGGAAGAACCUUCAGCCCUGUGCAUUCUUUCAUUUCUAACGUGUAUAGUUUUUGGUGAUUCCCAAUUGUAGAAGGUAACGUCACCAAACUUUUGCAAUUUGAGAGGUUCAAAUUCACCAGAUUGGUGGCCUUUGAAAGAUCUGGAAUUUCUAUCAGGUUUUCACAUUCUGACAGAUCCAUCCUCUCAAGUUUCCCAAGGGACUGAAACAGAGUAAAACAUUGUUAUGCUUUUCUUUUUUUUAAUGUAAAACGUUGUUAUGCUUUAAUCAUUGUUGAUACUAUAUCCGUUUAGUGUUAUAAUCAAGAACAAGACAUAAUGUUGUAUAUAUUACACGUAUAAAAAUCGUACCUGGACGCCUUCCCAUAGCUUCUCAAGCAUGUUGUUGCCUCUCAGUUUGAGAUUAACGAGAUGUUCUGGUAGAAAUUUACUUGGAUUACAUCUCCUAAGGCAAUCGAGAUAAUCUAGUCCAGGGAGACUCUUGUUCCAUAAACAAUCUGCUACGUCGAUGUCAAUUCCAUAUGGGGAAAUUUGCAUUAUAGUCUCAGGGAAAUUUCUCAACUUGGGGCAUCGUAGGAGAUCGAGGUACUCGAGAGAUUCCGAGUUGAGAGGACUUGGAAAACUUUCUAGCACUUCGCAAUCAGAAAUAUCUAAUCUCUCGAGGUUCAUGGCAUAAGAAAGAUCUGGAAUUUCUUUCAAAUAUUUGGAAUUACGCAGAAUCAUCUUCUUUAGGCUUCCAAGUAGCUGAAAACAAGGAAAGAGAGAAUAACACACAUUUAUAAACAUUUCAAACAGAUUUAUUUAGAUUGUUUAACAAAUAAAUUAAUAAAAAUAACACACUUCUGUUUUCAAAUAGACAACUAAAACAAUAAAGAAUUAGUACCUGAGUUCCAUUCCACAGCUUCUCAAGGUCACUAUUCACCAUUCUGAGUUCAACCAGAUACUCAGCCUUAAAAUUAGAAGGCAAACGCUUCAAUGGACAAUUAUCCCACCAUAGCCAUUUGAGUUUACGUGGCAAGUAAACGAGGCCGUUAGGUAGACGCAUUCUGGUUUCUCUCGGUUGCCACCAUGAAUGAUCAUGAAUUUUUAGAUAUUGGAGAUUAAGCAUGCCUUGGAACGAGUUUUCAUCUAUUGAAAUAAAUGGCUUAUCUAUUUGUGAAUCUGAUGACGCGCUGAAAUGUAUUCCGAGCAAUUUUUCAGUCCCCUGACAAAAACAAAUCCCCAAAGAAAACUAUUAUCCUCAAGUACCAAACUAAAUCAGUUUUUUUCUGUCCUUUUUAACAUCAAAAGCCAAUCGGUGAAUUAAUAUAAAGUGGUGCAUUAAGCUGCAAAAACUUACGGUAUUAUCGGUAAAUACGUCUAGAAUUUCCUCAGCAUUCUCCAGAAAUCGACGUUUUCCAGGAUUACCAUUAGACUCUUCACGAUCAAUUUCUGUAGCCAACUUCUGAAGCAAAUUGUGCAUCUCUAUAGUAUCAUUCGGUGUUAAACGUAUGAGGGACUUAUCAUCCAACGUUUUGAGCCUAAUGUUAACAUUAACACCAUCUCCGAGGAAGUCUUUGAUGGAUUUGACUUUCCAACCAUUGAAUAACCAUGCAAUGUAAUGGAAUAUAUCUUGAUCUUUUGGAUCUAAUCUAACGUAGCUGACUCUUAAUGUUUUCAUAAUAUCUCUGUUCAAACCAUUUUGGAGCUCAGCCAGCAUCUCCAUCCACUCUUCUUUGCUCCUUCGUUUUAAAGACGAACCAAGGACACUGAGACCCAAAGGAAGAUUACCGGCAAGCUUUGCAACUUCAAAUGCUAGUUCCUUAAAAUCAUCAGGUGGAGAGUAUUUCCCAAAAGCAUAUUGGCAUAUCAUCUUAAGAGCAAGACCUUGAGAUGGGAGCUUCACCUCAUAUAUAAGGUCAAUCUCAUGAGCCUUGAGAAGUUGCCUAUCUUGAGUGAUCACAAUUAUUCUGCUUCCAGAUCCAAACCAUUCAGCUUUUCCCACCAAGGUCCUAAGAAACUCUAGAUUAUCCACAUCAUCAAGAAGGAUAAGAACUUUCUUGUGCUUCAACCUUUGCUCCACCACACCAAAAUGCUCUAUCUUUAUGUCCUUUUGACCUAAGAUUUCCGAGAGAAGUUCUUUUUCCCAACUCAACUUCAUGCCAGAGACGUCACUACCACUGGUGCUUUUAUAAG